rnacentral:lncRNA from 1 species
AUCUGCAUUCGCUAUUGAACUGCGACACUGAGUCGACGUUAUCACUCAGUUUUCGGAUCCUCCGUCGCCGCAGAUGCAGGUGUAGGCUCACCAUUUGCAUGAGAUGGUUCGAUCCGGGACUCGACAGCACUAGAAUCAGCAGAAGAGGUGGGUUCAUCUGCUGCAUCGUCGUCGAUGGCUAUGGCUUCAGUCAGCUGGAGCUCAUCGAGGUCGAUCUUCAUGACUGGUUUCUCCUCACUUAAGGGGGCUUUGCCCAGCACCUCCAGAAGACCCUCCAAUGCAGCCGUGGGAUUGCGCUUCUUCUUCAGCAGGAGCUCGCUCACGUCUGCUGGUGAGAUGGCCUUGCCUGCGAUCGCGUUCUCUAUCUCCGGAAAAAGAUCGUGCCACUCCAGCCCCAGGUUGUUGGCCGCCAGGGUGCGGAAUGCCGGGUACUCGCACCACGACAUGAGAAUGUGUCUGUCCAUCCUGCCCGCACGCAGCAACGCCUUGUCUAGCUUCUCAACGUGAUUCGUCGUGAAGAUGAUGAUGCGCUCGCUCCCGCAGCAUGACCAGAGCCCGUCCGUGAAGUUUAGCAGUCCUGACAACGUCACUCGGCUUCCCUGAAAAUCAAAUUGCACGUCUCAACAUUUGGUCCUCGUGGCAUGGCAUAGUUGACCGUCUGCAAAUGGAACUGUUGCGGAGUUGUGUUGCGAGCCAUCGUAGCACAACAGGAUGCGUAAGUCGAGGUCGAUUGCGACACUUAUGUUAGUGCCUGAUUCAAGCAUUUGCGACUAGUACUGAUACAACAAGCUGAAUAGGGCAAUAGGUCAAUAACUGAAGUUGGGGUACCUCAUCUUGAUCAGAUCUGCCUCGGCCUAAUCCUGUCUCGGGAUUCUUUUUAUCACUCUCCUUGCGGGCCUUAGCUCGCUCUGCAAGAUCUGCCGAACAAUCUAUGUCCUCGAUGACCACAACCGAGCGGUUGGUUGUUUGAAUCAACAGCUGUCGAAGUUCAGAAUUCGAGGUGACUUCUGUCAAUUCCAUGUCAUAAAUAUCAUACUGCAAAAAAUUAGCUAUGGCUGCUAUCAUGCUGGAUUUUCCGGUUCCGGGUGGCCCGUACAAGAGGUAACCUCUCUUCCAUGGCUUCCCUGCUCGCUGGUAGAAUUCUUUUCCCUGUGUAAACUCCAGAAGGUCAUUCUUGAUGUCCUCCUUCAACUCUGGGUCCAUGGCGAGCGUGUCAAAUGUUGAGGGAUGCUUGAAUGGUACUGCUUCCCACGAUUUCUUCCUGAAACUGUAAGUCACAACUUGCGUUAUAACUCAACAUAAGAUGUAGCAUGUAUGGUUUCAACAAUUGCAAGUGCAGAUCACAUGAAACCCAGUAAAUGAACCUCAACCCUACGGCUACUUUGGCAAUCGUAAUAUUAGCACUUCGCAGCGCAACAUCAUGAAGACAGUGAUGGAAUUCGGCAGGUCCAGAGACUUCCCAGACAUGAAUCAUGAGUACCGAUUGAUGGAAAAACUCACUAGUUACUGCCCUUGAUGUUGGUGUAGAGAAGGCGAUCUCGAGAACGCUCCUUGAUCGACUUGGCGGCGUCCAUUAUAUGCUGUACAUACGGCUCGAGCAAGCGGUCCCUGUCUUUCUUACGAAUCUUGAGGGUGUACUUGCGCUUCUCAUCGUUCGGAACGCCCGAAAAAUUAAAGCGAGUACUCUGGAGAAGGUUGACAGAGUGACUCCACCACACCUUCGUGCCCAUAAAAGUAUCUUCAACAGUUUCGUGAGGUGCGGGUGAGAAGGUAUUCUGAGAAGCGUUUUUCGGGCGGCACAAGUUUACGUGCUGAGCAUCUGAAGCAGUUGAGGAGCUCAAGUAGGACUGUACAAAUUCAUAAAUUUCAUUACCACCUGCGCCCUCGAACUCCGGAAUGUCGAAGAAGGCGUAAGGCGAGAAGUAGGUUAUGGCACGAUGUAACCAAGAGUCAAAUGUAUUUCCAUACUCUUUCGAGAGUAUAUUGCGGAAGAAGCCUAACACUCCCAGCAUCGCUGCCCAGAAGGUCCAAAACUCCAUCGACCCUGCUCCUUGCAUUUUUGUACUUGCACCCAAUCCUGUGAAGAAUCCAAUCUACCCUGCUGUCCUGAAUCUCUAGGCCGCUGCUUGUAAGUUCAAUUUAAAGGACAUUCACCUUGAUUCCAAAUGUCGUCGUAAUCCAAUCAAAAAAGUAGAGACAAUGAAAAAAUAAAUUGCAGAGCAUGGCCAUCAAUUCUGUUCCGAAAGUGGAAGGCUUGGAUAUAAUGUUCAAAUGUAAACAUGUCACCGCGCAAUGAUCCAACCCAAAACCAAUUUCGCCGCGUUUGUGUGCCUGUCUCCAACCAGCUCAAUUAUGAAGGAGGAACAACCGGAAUUAAGUGAUUCCUCUCCAAAAUUUCUCAAAUUCAGCCUCGAAGUUCCCCUACCAAAUUCUUUAUAACCCGCAAUGAUGUGACUAACCCACCAAUGAACUAAGCCUAAUUCUCUCCAAGGCAAACAGAGCCUCGCUACCUCCCCCUUCUGCUAAUUGGCACACAGCUCCGGUCCCAAAUAUGCCGCAACUGAAACGACUGCACUGAGGAUAGCACUGAGGCUCAACUGGUCGUAUAUUGCUAAACAAGAGCGGCAGUAUGUCGGUGCUUCGAGGGCCGUCCCCUCAUCAACGUGCAGCGGCAAUUAUCAAGAAUGUCCCACUACCUUCACUGUCAAGCGAUGUCUUUUAAGCACACGAAAUUCGCCCAGUCACACAAUAUCCCGAACCUCUAUUUCCUGGAAGCCGUCUUGUCAAAAUUGCAGACAAAUGAUGCACACUAUUUACACCUUUGACUAUCUUGUUUUGUGUUGUGGAUGGAAAACUUUGGUGGUUUAUCUAAUGGCUAUUUCCCCUACCAAGGUCCUAAAAUAGUUUUAUCUUUCUACACAUUGUUGCAAUUUUCUUGAUCAAUUCUCUCUAUAUUUAUAUAUAUAAAGAUUUUUUAUUAGUGUAUUUUUAAGUAAAUGAUUUUUACUAAAAUAUUAUUAAUUAGACUUAUAAAUAUCAACAAAACCUUUAAAAGAUUUAAUUCUAACUUUCAAAUCAUGCACAAGAAUCAAUAUAUAAAAAUUCUUGGAUAAAUAUUUUUUGUAAAUAAUUUUUUUCUAUAAAAUUAUUUUAUUUCACUUGAUUAGAUCAAAUUCUUCAUUUAUAACAUUGUAUUAGGAUUUUGAUUCUACUAAUUAUUUAUUCGUAUUUUUUACUAUUUUUUAUAUAAUAAUUUUAGAUGUUUGGUUAUUUAUUUAUAUAAUACAAGAUUAUUUCUUGUUGCUCAUUUAUUUCUUGUAUUUUUAAAAUAUAAUAUCUUAUUGUAUUUAAUUUGAUAAGAUGAAUCUUUAAAAAAUCUAUACUUCAUUAAUAUAUAUUAAUUAAUCCAAUUAAUCAAAGGUCAUUAGAAAAUAAAACUAAUCUAAUAGAAAGAUCUAAACUAAUACAACUCAAAUAUUAAAUAUAGAUUUGAAAUACUUGACACACAUAAGAACCAAUUUAAUAAGAAUUAAAAAUAGCAAGUAUAUUAGAGAUAAUUAACUUAAGUAAGAACCAAUUAUUUUUUCGAGGACAUAAAUUAAAAACAACCAAAGGAUUAACAUACUCUUGUGUUACUAUAAAAGAAUACAUAUUUAUUCAAAGAUGGUAUAUUUUUAAGAUUAGAAUGACUAUUAUCAAAGAUAAGAAGACUAAAGACUCUUGAAACAAGACUAAGAAGACUAAAGACUCUUAAAACAAGACUAAGAAUAAGAAAGACAUUAAAAAGAGUAGGAAUGGCUUUACUCUUACCUCUUAUAUACUAUCUAAUUUGAAUCUAUGUGAAGAAAAUCCAUAGGACCUGUAAUAUAUAUCCAACUUAUAAGACACAUGUAUAACUUGUAAGACAAGUUUCUUAUAUGUCUGCUACAUGGCCAAUUUAUAUGAAAAAUCACCAAGAUGUGCAAUAUGUGACCAACUUAUUAUUCAAAUUUUUAAUCCAUCAAUCAAAUACAAACGUGUAUAAAGUCAAAUCCACUUCUAUACAACUUCUAAGAAGCUUUUCAAGAAGAUAUUAUCAAAUCUACUUAUAUUUAUUUUCUACUCAAUACUUUUUAUUUAAGUAAUUACAUAUGUCUAUAAUAUUAUUUUCUAUUAUAGAAUUAAGUUCUAUAAGAAAAGAUAAUUAUAUGUUAAAAAAGUCCAAAAUGCAACAAAUUAUAUUUGCCACCUAUUCUAAUCUUUGUUUUUUUUGAAGAUAGUUAACAAAAUCUCUUAACUAUUGAUAGUAUUGUAUACUAAGACAUAAAGACCACCCUAAUAUAUGAUUGCUAUUGUUGCUUGUCAUGGAUACAUUUAUAUUUAUUCUAAUAUUUAUCUAUAUGAUUAAAUAGAAAUAAAUAAAAAUAGAUUUAUUUCAUAAUAUUUUUUAAAAAGCUUCCUAGAAGCUUUUUAGAUGCUGCUUUGAUUUUAUAUAUAUUUGUAGUUGAUUAGUAGAUUAAAAAAUUUGUCAACAAAUUAACCACAUAUUGAUAACUUGUAAAAUAAAUUAAUUAUAUAGGGCAUAUAUAGAAAACUUACCUUGCAAGUUAAAAUACAUGUCUUGUAAAGUCAACACAUUUUCAAAGUCCUAUAGGACAUCACCACAUAGCUUCUAGUUAAGAAUAUAUGUAGAGGCAAGAGUAAAGCCUUCUUCACUCUUGUCAACGCCUUUCUAGUCCUUAGUUAUGUUUCAAGACUUUUUAGUCUUCUUGUCUUUAGCAAUAGCCAUUCUAGUUUAAUACUAUAUAAUCUUUGAGUGACUUUUUAGUUCUUUUGAAGGACACAAGAGUAUAUUGAAGAUUUCUUUUUUCAAGCUUCAUGUCCUUGAUAGUUUGACAAGAGUGUUAACUCAUUGUUUUUGACUUAUUAUAAAAUUGAGUGGAUUAUCCUACUUCUAACAUUGUAUUUUGAAGGUUGUAGAUUAUCCACUUUUAAACAAAUUAUUUAGUUUUCUAACACCAAUAUUUUUCUUAAAGAAAGUAGAUUAUUUUUUUUUGUAGAAAUUUUCAUUUAAUAUUAGAGUAGUAGAAACCAAGUUCUUAUCUUUACAACAAAGAUUACAAUCAACCAUCAUAUAUGUUGUUGAAUUCAAAAACCUCACUUGUGAUAUGGAUUGGAAUGACAAAGCCUUCAUCAAUCAAUUUUGAUAUGGAUUGAAGAAUAACAUCAAAGAUUUGUUAUUGACAAUGCAAAAAGCAAAAUCUUUAAAAAAAAUUAUUACUUAAGUGAUUGCAUGUGACAAUUGACUAUUUGAAAGGUAUUAAGAACAAAGACUUGGUUGAAGGAAAACAAGCCAAGUAACAAUGCAGCCUCCAAGUUUUAAAAAACUUAUUUAUUAAGGUCAAAACUAAUGCACAUUGAUACAAUAUAUUUUAAAUCCUUCAUUGAGAAAAAAAAGACUUGACAUCAUCAAGAAAGUUUGUUCUUGUAUUAUGGAGAAGCUAAGCAUAUUAUUCAACAUUCUUCAAAGAAUCAAAGCAAUUAUAAAAUAAAAAGCAUGAUUACUAAAAAAGACAAUGUAUCAAAAAAUAAAUUUCUCCAACUAUAAUAAAAAUCAUGCAGUUGGAAUCAUGUGCAAUACCUAAUAAAGGUUAUAUUCGUUCAUCAAUUUCCUCACCUUGUUUUACAAUGGAUAUGUAUUUAAGACCUAAAAAUCACAAAAUCUUUGCAUUAUUAGAUUUAAGAGCUUCAACUUCUUUUAUAGAUGAAGACUUUGUCAAGAAAUAAGUAAUAUCUUUAAUCAAGAAAAUUAAACUCCUACAUAUAGAAGACAUAGAUGGUUGUUUGUUAACUUUUAGAGACGUUAUUCAUGAGACUAUUCUUUUAGAUAUAAUAAUUAAAGAUCAUAAUAGUAUAAUAAUAUUUAAUUUAAUAAGAUCUCCUUUCAAUCUAAUUAUUUUAAGAUUAUUGUAGUUAAAAAAAUAUAACCCUCAAAUAGAUUGGAUUUCUAGUAACCUUGAUUUUUUUUAUAAUUUAAUCUAAAAUUUUAAUAGUGAAGUAAAAAUAUAUAAGCUUAGUACAUCCAUACUCUUACUAGUAAGUGCAAGACCUUUCAUGCAUGCAGAAGAAAAAAUGCCAUCUUUUGCUAUAUAUGCCACAUCCAUUUUUUAUGGUAGAAAGAUGUUAAGAAAUAUUUUUAGCCAAUAUCAAGAUUCUUAAGAUAUUUUUGAAAAACAAAUAUAGAUAUUUUCUAAAGCUUCAAUCUUAUAAUUGUUCAAUUGAUCUACAAGAAGGUGUUCAAUCACCAAUCUAAACCAAUCUACAACUUAUUACAAAAUGAGUUGGCCACACUAAAGGAAUACAUUAACAAGAAUUUGGCUAAGAACUUCAUAUGUCAAUUAAAAUCUUCAAUAAGAGCUCCUAUCAUAUUUAUAAAAAAAAAGAUAGAUCUUUUUAGAUAUACAUAGACUAUUGAGGAUUUUAAAAGAUCACCAUGAAGAAUAGGUAUUCCCAAUUUUUGAUUUCAAGACUUCUUGACCAAUUCAAUCAAGUAAAGAUCUAUACAAAAAUAAAUCUACAAGGAUUAUACAACCUAGUCCAUAUUAAAGAAGGAGAUAAGUAAAAGACUACUUUUCAAAAUAGGUAUGGAUAUUUUGAAUAUAUUGUAAUGCCUUUAGGACUUACAAAUGCAUUGGCUACUUUUCAACAUCUCAUAAAUGAUUUUUUUUGUGAGUUUUUUGAUGAUUUUGUUGUAUGUUAUUUAAACAACAUUCUAAUUUACUCUUAAAAUAUGGAAGAAUAUAAACUUCUUAUUCGUCAUGUAUUACAAAAAUUUAGAGAUGCAAGAUUAUAUGCAAAGAUAAAAAAAAAUAAUAAUAAUAAAUAUUACUUAGAUUGAUUUUCUAGAUCUCAUGAUACUUUUAAGUUUGAAUUUAAGAAUAAUCUACUAUACUUUGAGGGAUGAUUAUACAUUCUAAAAGGCAAAACAUGAUUACGUGUUCUUUAAGCUCAUUAUGACUUUUCAAGAAUCAGACAUUUUUGAUACAACAAGACUUUGAAGCUAAUAUCUAGAGAUUUUUAGUGGCUUCAAAUGUGGAAGGUAGUCAAAGAUUUUAUAAAAUCAUGUGAUAUUUUUUCAAGAUUCAAAAAUCCUUAUCAUUGACUUUAUAGACUUUUUCAACUAUUAUCUAUUUUGAAACAACCACAAUCUUUUAUUUCUAUGGAUUUUAUCACAAAUCUUUUAAUCUUAGGUUCAUAUGAUUCUCUAUUUUUGGUAGUAGAUUAUUUUAUGAAGAUGGCUUAUUUUGUCCUAUAUAUAAUAUCUAUUAUAAGUAAAGAAAUGGCUAAGUUUUUUUUCAAUAAUAUCUAUUGUUAUUAUGGAUUAUCCAAGGAUAUUAUAUUGGAUGGUAGUUCUCAAUUUACAUCUAAAUUUUAGAGAAUUCUUUUUAAGAUAUAAAAAGUGGAUAUAAAGCUCUCUUUGGCUUUUCAUUCUCAAAUUGAUGGACAAAUAGAAUGGAUGAAUCUAAUUUUGAAGCAAUAUUUGAGGUGUACCAUGAAUUAUUAUCAAGAUGAUUGAACAACUCUUUUGCUAUUGGCAAACUUUGCAUACAAUAAUUUGAUAUAUUCUUUGACUCAAUAAAUUUUUUUUUUGCCAAUUAUAGAUAUCAUUGAUAACUUGAUACUUUUGACUUUUUAAAAGUUAAUAAUCUUGUGGCAAAAGAUUUCGAAAAUUAUUUAUCAAAAUUAUAUGUAAUAAUGAAAGCAUAGUUAAAAGAAGCUGAAGAAUAACAAAAAAUCAAUGUGGAUGCCUAUUACAAGAAACAACCACAAUUUAACGUAGAUGACAAGAUAUGGCUAAUUAGUUAUAAUAUCAAGGCUAUUUAUUUUUAUGACAAGUUGGACUAUUGUAUGCUUGGACCAUUUUCUAUUAAUAAAUAAAUCAAUCAUAUUGCUUAUUGAUUAAAUCUAUUAGUGUGAGCAUAAAGAGAAUAUACCUUAAAAAAAUAUUGGGUUUUUAACUGUCACUAGUUGCUCAACCAAGCCACAAAAUUAAAAAAAUAAAAUAAAAAAAUAUCAAAUUUAUAUAUAAAAUUAUUCAUAUAGAAGAAAUUACAUCAAAAUAUAUAAGCUCUAAGUACCAAAGAUCACCAAAAAUGUGAAAAAAAAUAUUAUAAAACCUUAUAUAUCCUUACGAUGAAUUUUUUCUAAAUUUCAAUAGCUUAUAUCUCAUGAUUGGACUAUUCAAACAAGCCAAAAUUUUACAUAAAGUACUGAUGUACUUUUAACAACUACCAUAACAAAUUUCAACUACAAAUUCAUUGUGGAUCUUGAAAUAUUGUCAAAAUCCUAACAAUAGCUUCAAACCCUUGCUUACAUAUACCUAUGUGUAAAUUUCUUCAUAUCUUAUAAAUUUAAUAUUAAAAUACCAUAAAAUUUUAUUAUAUAGCUUUUUGAUCUAAUAAUACAGACUUUUGAAAAAUUUGAGCUAAAAAUUCAUUUAGAAACUCAAGAUAUGGCUCCAACCAUUAGUAUCAACAUAACGACACACUUAUUGCCUUUGAAUUACAUGUAUUGUCUUCAAUAUUUUAUAAUUUCUUUAUAUAAUUUCUAAAUAUAGAAAUUCUUUCACAAAAGAUAUAGAUCUUAAAAUUAUUCUCACGAUUGCAUUUUUUAAUUUUCAAAAUCUAUCAUAAAAUUCUUUAUAUCCUCAAAAGAACAAUAGUAUAUCUUAAAAAGACACCUUAAUUUCAAAUAGCUAUAAUUUCAUCACCUAAAUUCCAAAUCCUUUAAGAUUUGAAUAAAAAAACUUAGUCCAAAUCCUAAACUAUAUAAUCUUUGCUCUUGAUUCUUAAAUGCUUCUUUUAAAGUCACUAAAAUCCUUGUUAUAGUCAUAGAUAGCUUGUUGAAUGCCUAUUAGGCAUAGCCUUUGACUAAUAGAGAUAAAGAUCUUCAAUUUUUACCUUCAUCCAUCCAUAUCUUACUUUUAAUCCUCCAAAUAAGUUUCUUAGAAGUUUGGAUCUUCAUCUUUGAGCUCCAAUCUUCUCUUUAAAUUUUAUACUAAAUAUCUAAAUCCUAUAUAAUUUAAAUACUAUAAUCAACAUAAAUAAACUUUAAAAUAAAUUUUCUUUCAUCAACUUUAUUUAAAUUAAUUUAUUAACCACUCUAAUGUAUAUCAAUACUUGUAAAUAUAUUAUAUAUUUUAGUUAAUUUUUACAUACAAUAAAAAAUUACAAUUUGAUAUCGAAGUAUAUAAAGAUCUAUCUCAUAUUCAAUGUAUCUUUUUUUGAGCCAUAUAAAACAAUGAAUAUUUUAAGAAGAAGAUAAAUACCACCUCUUUUUAUAAAAGUGGAUAAUAAUUAAGAGUUCAAAGUAGAAGAAGUCUUAGAGUCAAGACAAUAUUGAAAUAGGUUAGAAUAUCUUAUUCAUUAGCAUUGAUAAGAUAUUACUAAAUGUACAUGGAAGCCACAAAGAAUCUUACAAAUACAACAAAGAAACUUAAGAUUUUUCAUUGACAAUAUCUAUCAAAAUGAAGAUGAAGAAUAACAAAUCUUUAUUAUAAAAGAAACAAAAUUUAGAAAAGAUAACAUUCUACUUGCUAUUCUUAUUUGGUACUUUUUUACAUAUGUGAUACUAAAGACAUGAAUAGCUUACAAUCAAUAGAUUCAACUUAAGAACUAUCACUUGUUAACUUACUAGAGAAAAUAUUACAAUUAUCACAACCUUCAAGAAGAUGUAAACAAGAGGAAGAUCUUCAAGAAUGACACAUCUUUCUUCAAAUAGAUGGUAAGAUAUAUUCUAUUUGAUAUCACAAUUUUGGAAGAGAUUCUUGAUGUUUAGGGAUUUUAAUAGAUGUUGAAAUAAUUUUUGAUGGUAUUCCAAAUAUUUUAUUUGAAAGAAGUUAUAAAGGCCUUAACAAUGAUCAAAUAACAAGGUGGUCUUCUUGUCUUAAUAUGGGACACUAUUGACGGCUAAGAGGACCUAUCAACCAUCUUCAAAGAGAACAAAGAUUAAAAUAUGUGGCAAGUAUAAUUUGCUACAUCUUGAAUUUCUUCAACAUAUGAUGACUGUUUUUCAUAGAACUUGUCUUUAGAAAGGAGAGUAAUAUCACAAAUAUACAUAUUUAAUUCUAAUAUUUAUCUAUAUGAUUAAAUAGAAAUAGAUAAAAAUAGAUUUAUUUUAUAUUAUUUUUUAGGAAAGAUUCCUAAAAGCUUCAUAGAUAUUGCUUUGAUUUUAUAUGUAUUUAUAGUUGAUUAGUAGGUUAGAAAUUUGAUCAAAAAAUUAAUCAUGUAUUAGUAGUUUACAGAACAAGUUAAUUAGUGGCACACAUAUAUUAUAGACAUACAAUUGAAGAAUAUUGAAGAAGGUUCUAAGAGAUUUUAGAAGGUUCUAAGAAGGUUCUUAUAGAUCCUAAAGAUUCUAGAAGGUUUUAAUAGGUUCUAAGAAGAUUUCAAAAGAUUCCAAUAGAUUUUAAGAAAGUUCUAGAAGAUCAUAGGAGAUGCUAGAAGAUUCUAGGAGGCUUUAGAUGAUUUAGGAAGUUUCCAAAGAAGGAUCUUAAGCUUGCUUUAUUUCCAAGCAUCAUGGAAACUUCUCAAGAGGCUUUUUAGGACCUAGUAUAUAUAAGAGUUAAGGCUAAAGAGAUCCUCAGUCUCAACAAUUGACUUCUUGUAGUUUAGUCAAGAUCUUUUUGCCUUGUAUCUAGUAAUUGUUCUAAUAUUGAGCUAUCUCCAUUUCUUGGUCUUGAAUCCUUGUCUUAUAUAUGGUCUCUAACAGUUUGUCAAGACUGUCAUAAAAUAAUAUUAAAAGCUUGGUCUUUCUUGACAGAGAGUGGAUUACCCCUCUUUUUGGAAGUACUAUAGCAUUCUAGAGGUUGCGGAUUAUCCUUCUCUAGACUAAUAUUUUUCUUUUCUUAAUAUUCUUUUGAUUUUUUUCUUUGUACUGUAGAUUAGAUUUUUUUUCCUUUGAAUGCCUAUAUUUCUUUAAUUUUCUAUGGCAAAAAGUGAAAAAGUCAAUAUGAUAGAUUCUAAAGAGAUCAAAUUAGAUUCUAUUAUUAAUACUCUUAAAGCAUUGAUGAUCAAGAUAGAGAUUUUAUUGAAGUAGAAUGAAGAACUAUAUAUGACCAUACAUAAUGGUCAAGGAGCCAGAGUUCUUCAACUACCACAUCAAAUGGCAAUAGAAGUUUCAAAUUCUCAAAUGACUUUUUACUUCAAGAAACACGGGAGGUGCAUCUACUCAAGGCAAUGAUCUAACAAUAAUAAUAGCAAAAGAAUCAAAGAUCACCCUUUCAAAAAAGUUCAAUGACACCCACUUAAAAUUUUGUGGAAUUAUAAACCAAGUACAAGUAAUCACCUUGCUUCAACCUCAACAAUAUUCCACUAAAGCAUCUUAUGUUGGUUUGGUUAGAAUCUUAUUCUAAGAUCAACCUUAUUCUCCUAUAUUGCAUAUUUUUGAAGCAUUUUUUACAGUAUUUAUAAAAGCAUUUGGUAAACAUGAUAAGGUUCAUUUUUCAAUAACUAAAAUUCAAAGCCUUUGACAAAGAAUGCAUUUUGUAUCAAUGUAUGCCUAAGAUUUUUGACAAUUAGUAUGAAAUACAAAUUAGAGAGAAGAUGCAUUGAUGAGCCAAUUUCAUUGGAGAUUAAGAGAUGAUGUCAAGGACUUAUUGCUAUCUAUAUGAAAUCAUCAAUUCUCAAUGAAGUCAUUAGUCAAGCUAUGAAGUUCGAUAACUAUUUAUUUCAAUGACGACAAGAUAAACAUUCUUCAAUUAUGCCACAUGUAUACACCAAUUAUUUUGCAACUUCUUCACUGUCUAAUUCUAAUGAGCAUUUGAAAGUAGAAGAUAUGUAGAUUGAUGCAGUUUGCUUCAAACGUCUUUUUGAGUAAGAGAAAAAAUAUUAAAAGAAACUUGGCCUAUGCUUAUAUUAUAGAAAAUCUGGCCAUAAGUUUAAUAAUUAUUCAAAAAUACUAGCAUGCAUAUUGAAUGAAGAGUGUGGCUAUGUCAUUAAAAGCUUUACAAAAAAACGGGGGCAUCUAGCCACAGUAAGAACUAUGCAAUUGGAUUCUUCACUAUCACAAAUCAAAAAAGGUCCUGUACUCUCUGCCAACCCUUUUCAUUGCUUUAUUAUACCUAUAUAGUUAAGAGUCACAAAACUAGAGUAUCAUAUAUUAUUUAAUUUGGAAGCCUUUGUAUGUUUUAUUAACAAAUAAUUUUUUAAAUCACACAAAAUCUGUACGGUCAAAAAAUCCAAAGUCAUACAUAAAAAAGUAAUAGAUGGUUGACCUUUAUCCUUUAGAGAAGUCAUAUAUGAGACAAUUCUAUUAGAGAUAACUUUCGACAAGCAUAGCAGGCAAGUAGUAUUCAACAUCAUUAGAUCACCAUGAAGUCCAAUCAUUUUAGAAUUCUCAUCGCUUAAAAAAUACAAUCCACAAAUAGAUUGGAUAUCACAAAAGUUAGGAUUUCGUCUAGUAGAUUAUAGAACCUUCAGAUUUAUGAAAAAGCUUCUAAUAUCUGAUAAGCCAAAACUUAAACAAUAUUUAUUUAUUGAAGCAAGAACAUUUGUAAAGGCAAUCAAACAAGGCACUAUGUUUGCUGUCUAUGCAAAUCUAUGAUCAAAACCUUUGAUUGCUAUAACAACAAUUUUAGAGGUAUAUAAGGAUUUUGUAGAUGUAUUUGAAAAGAAAAAUGUUGAUAUCUUGUCAAAGCAUUAUCCUUAUGAUUGUGCAAUUGACCUUCAAGAAGGUGCUCAACCACCAUUUGGAUCUAUCUACAAUUUAUUCUAAAAUGAGCUUUCAACUUUAAAGGAGUACAUUGAUAAAAAUCUAGCUAAGAAUUUUAUUUGGCAUUCCAAGUCACCAAUUAGUAUUCUAAUAUUAUUUGUGAAGAAGAAAGAUGGAUCUUUACAAAUGUAUAUCAAUUAUUAUAGUCUUAAUAAAAUCACGAUAAAAAAUUGAUAUCCAUUGCCGUUAAUAUCUGGACUUUUUGAUCAACUUAACCAAGCAAAGAUCUUUAUAAAGAUUGAUCUACAAGGCGCGUAUGACUUGGUAUGCAUUAAGGAGGGAGAUGAAUGGAUGAUAGUAUUUUGUACCAAGUAUGGAUAUUUUGAAUACAAUGCCAUACCUUUUGGACUUACAAAUGUAUCAGCCAUAUUCCAAUAUUUAAUGAAUGAUAUAUUUUACAAGCAUCUCGAUAAAUUUGUUGUGAUUUAUUUGGAUGAUAUUCUAAUCUUUUCUAAGAAUCCAGAUGACUACAAAAAAUAUGUCCAUCUUAUAUUGGAAAAACUAUGAAGUGUUGGGCUCUAUGUAAAACUGGAGAAGUAUAUAUUUCAUGUACUUCAAGUCAAAUUUGUUAGAUAUAUUAUUUUCAAAAAAGGCCUUUUUAUGGAUCCAAAGAAAAUAUAAGCAAUCAUCAAUUGAUCAAAGCCAAAAAUUAUACAUGAUGUCCAAUGCUUUCUUGGAUUUGUAAACUUCUACAAGUUUUUUGUUAAAAAUUACUCCAAGAUUGCUACUCCACUUAUGUGAUUGACAUACAAAGAUAAGUUGGAUUAGGGCCCCAAAAUAGAAAAAACUUUUCAAAGCUUAAAAGAUGCUUUCAUAAUAGCUCCAAUUUUGUUACAUCGAGAUUUCAACAAGCCCUACUUUAUGGAGAUCGAUGCCUUAGACUUUGCAUUAGAAGUAGUCUUGUUGCAAUGUAGAAAAGAUAAAAAAACUUCACCCAAUUGCAUUCUAUUCUAGAAAAUUUUCAAUGGUGGAAACCAACUACAAAAUGUACGAUAAAGAGAUGUUUGAUAUUGUAGAUUCUUUCCAAAAAUGGUGCCACUUUCUUGAAGGUGCUUUUCAUUAGGUCACUAUAUAUACAUAUCACAAAUAUCUUAAAUAUUUCAUAUUAGGCCGAGUCUUGAACCAUCGCAAAGCGCAUUGGAGUAUAUCUUUAUCACAAUGUCCUAAUGUAAUACAACUAAAUAAUAAAAUAAUAAUCAAAAUUAAAUUUCUAAUUAAUAUCUAAUUAUCUUGAUUCAAUAAUAAUUUAAGGUAUCUAAAUAUGGCUUUUAUAAAAUCUUUUAAGAUUAUUUUCUUAUCUCAAUAGCUAGUAGAUUGAAAAUUAGUUAAUAUACCUUUUUUAGGCUAUAGACACUCUUUUACUAUCUUAAAAAGACCAUAAAUUGAUAAAAUCAGGUUAGAAAAGAUAAAUAAUUAGUAUGGUUGAUACUAGGGUUAAAUUGAGGAUAAGGUUGGUCUAAAAAAUCCUUAGGAUAGAUUAGAUUGAUACCCGAGGGUCGACCAUUUAUGAGUCAGAGCCGAAAUCAGACCUCCGACGACUAAAAUGACUGCUUAGGGCAAAAUAGGUUUUCACUUAAAGAUUAGAAAUUAGGAUUUGAAAGCUAGGUUAGAGAGCUAGCUUAUUCUAAAGAUAUAAGGUUGGUUUUGGUAAGAUUUUUUUGGACUUGGCAAUUAUUGUUGAAAGUCAAGGUUUGUAUUGGCAACUUGGAAUUUAUGCAAUAAAAUUAGAACUAGUACUCUUAGCUAGUUUGUAAAAUUGGUAUUACAUCUAUAGUUCAAAUUUUGACAUAGCUUAGUUUAUUAGGUGUGCUAAGUGUAUGUGAAAUUUUUUCAUAAUCCAAUGGUAUAAUUGAGAGAUAUUUGGAUUUUGAUACAAGAAGAUAUCGAAAGUUGGCAAUUUUUUCUUGGGUAGGAUUUCUAUGAUAUGUAAAGAUCUACUAGUUUGAUUAAGGUGAAAUUUGGUAUAAUAUUGGAGGACUUAAAGAUUAAGCUACAUAUUAAUUUUGAAUUAAAGUUAAUAGUUAAAUAAGGAGAAAUCAUUACUGGAACAUUUGCAUCAACUUUCAAGUUGACAGCCAAAUAAUAUCAGUGUGGUUUUUGGACAUUUUCUCAAAAUCUAUAAGUUGCAACGGAGUGAAUUCUUAUUAAGCACAUAGAAGACUUAUAGUAGCAUUUGUAUAUAAAAUUUUACUCCAAAUGAAUGGUUAGAUCACGAGCUACUGUUUGCUAAAGCUUUCUAGUUAGAAUUAAGGUUUGCAAAGAAAGUUUGAAAUUGCCUAAUUAUUGAAGUAAUAAGGAAAUUGGAAUUUAUGUAUGGUUGAAACUACUAAGAAGAGUGUUUUUAAGUACUUUAUAUUGAAUUAAAAUUCAAAUUGCAUUCUUUUUAUAAUGAUGAAACAUAUUAGGAUUUUUAGAUAUUUGUAAAAUACAAUCCAACUUUCAUCAAUUAGAUGCAUUCUCAAAUAGGAUGACAUGUAAUAUGACAAAAAUUUUAUUUUUGCAUCAUGUAUCAACCUAAGAACCAACAAAGGUUAUCAAAUGCAUUAUCAAGACGUUCCUACCUUGAACCAAAAAAAAGUGAGGCAAGAUAUGAUCAACAACGAGCAAUCUUGUUAAACCCUCAGUAAUUUCAUCUUUGAGCAACCAAUGUAUCAAUGCCUAUAGAUUUAUCAUUUUUUGAUCAGAUUUAUAAAGCCUCAAUUAUGGACUCUCUUGUUUUUACAUCAAGCAUUUUGUCAACAAGCUUCUUAAAGAGUCUUCUAAAUUCAAGUUUGAAGACGACUUCUUGUUCUUUGAAGAAAAUUUAUUCAUUCCUAAAGGACCAACUCACCUGUGCAUUUUUCAAACACGCCAUAACUUUCUUGCAAUUAGACAUUUCAGAUUCAACAAGACCUUAGAACUUUUGUGUAGAGUUUUUGGUGGCUUAAAAUAUAGAAGGACGUUAAGAAAUUUGUACUAUCAUGUGAUACUUGUUCAAGGUAAAAAAACCUUCGACAUUGGCUAUAUGGACUUUUUCAACCCCUUUCUAUUCUAAAAUAACCAUAAUCAUCUAUUUCCAUGGAUUUCAUCACAAAUCUUCUACCAUUGGAUAAUUAAUCUAGUGUAAUAAAAUCCAUAGAAAUAGAUAGAUUAAUUAACAAAGAUAGUACAUUUUAUACUGUGCAAGAAGUCAAUUACUAGUGAAGAGAUAGCAAGAUUCUUUAUUGAUAAUGUCUAUUAUUACCACACGUUGCUAAAUGACAUUGUAUCAAAUUGUAGGCCAUAAUUUAUAUGAAGAUAUUGGAAAGCACUCUUCAAGAUUCUUAAGAUUGAUAUCAACAUUUCUUCUACCUUCCACCCUCAAAUUAAUGGCCAAAUGAGGCAGAUCAAUCAAAUUCUUGAACAAUAUUUGAGGUACACUAUCAACUAUAAACAAGACAAUAAGACUUUCUACUUAUUAUUUUUACAGUUUGUAUAUAAUAAUACAAUCCAUGUAUUUAUGCAAUAAAUUCCAUUCAAUUCAAACUAUGGUCAUCAUCCAAAGUUGGAUAUGAUAGAGCCUUUAAAGUCAACAAAUCCAGCAACAAAGGAGUUUGCUAUGAACAUAGCGAAACUUCAAACAACUAUGAAGAGUCAUCUAGAAAAGGUCCAACUAUAUUAUAAGUUGGUGGUAGAUGAAUUGAAAAAGGAACAUCCUCCAUUUCAAGUUGGUGAUAAAGUAUGGCUUCUUUGACGUAAUAUAAAAAUCAAUAGGCUAUAUAAUAAGUUGGACUAUCAAAGAUUGAAACCAUUUUUCAUUCAGAUAUAAAUCAAUAACAUAACUUAUUGCUUGGAGUUACCUUCAUUCAUGAAGAUUCAUCUAAUCUUUCAUAUUUUACUUUUAAAAAGGUAUAAAGAAUUGAACAUAUUAAGUCAAAGACAACUACCACCUCUUAUGGUUGAAAUCAAUGAUCAUAUUGAAUUUGGGAUAGAAGAGGUAUUAGAUUCAAGGAUAAGAUAUAGAAGGCUUCAAUAUCUAUUCUAUUGGCAUGGAUAUGAUAUCAAUAAUUAUAUCUGGAAACGAGUUGACAACCUUGUAAAUACACAAAUGAAGGUUCUUAUGUUCCAUCAAUAAUAUCUAUUUAGACCAAAAGUGGCAAAAUGAAGAAUAGUAGGUUGGUAACAUAACUUCACCUUGAAGAUUCUUAGUUCUUUGCCUCAUAAAGAAUGAGAAGAGGCAUCCUCUGAAGAGGUAAUUUUUUCAAAUGUUUACAAUAGUAUAAGUAAGUAGUUCAAGUUCAUGACCAUAGUCUAUUUAUAUUCUUUUGAUCUUAUCUAUUUUAUAUAAUAUAGAUAGUCAAAAGAUAGAUACCUUGCUGGUCAUACCAUCUCGACCAAGUAGCUUAUAGAAACGACCUCGAGAUGAAAAGUCACGUGAAUCUUGAAGACAUUGAAGGAUUACUAGGAAUUCGUCAUUGAUAAUUGUAUUUGAUGUAGAACCUGCUUAUGAAGUAUUUGCAAGCUAAUUCUAUAACAAAGAUACUAAAGUUCAUGCUUGGUUACAAGUAGAAGACUUGGAAUACUAUCAAUGGCUACAAGAGCCUAUAAAUCAUUUACCUCAUAAAAAACAAGUGAAAUAUAUAAUAGACACUAUGCAACAGAUCUUCAACUUCUUGCACAUAUAUUGACUUGCAGCAACAUUGCUUCUCGGAGACCUCGAAACUAGAAGAAGAAGUGAUAUCAUGGACAUAAAAUUGAAGAAGGUUCAAGAAGGUUCUAUGAAAUUCUAAAAUUUUUUAAGAAUGUUCUUAUAGAUCCUAGAAGUAUUUAGAAGGUUUCAAAAGAUUCUAAGAAAGUUCUAGAAGUUCAUAGGAGAUCUUGGAAGGUUCUAGGAGGCUUUAGAUGAUUUAAGAAGUUGCCGAAGAAUGAUCUUAGGCUUCUUUUGUUUCCAAGCCUCAUAGAAACUUUUUAAGAAGCUUCCUAGGAUCUAAUAUAUAUAAUAAUUGAGGCUGAGGGGAACUUUAGUCUUGACAAUUCACUUCUUGUAGUCUAGCUAGGACCUUCUUGCUUUAUAUCUAGUUAUUGUUUUAAUGUAGAAUAAACUCCAUUUUUUGCUCUUGAAUCCUUGUCUUAUAUAUUUUCUCUAACAACACAUAGAAAAUUUACCUUGUAAGUUAAGAUAUCUUGUAUCUUAUAAAGCUAACAUGUUUUAGAGGUCCUGUAGAAUAUCACAAUAUAGUUCCUAAUUAAGAGUAUAUAUAGAAGUAAAAGUGAAGUCUUAUUUAGUCUUAUCAAUACUUUUUUAGUCUCUAGUCUUAUUUUAAGACUUUCUAAUCUUCUUGUCUUUAGAAAUAGAUAUUCUAGUUUAAUAUUAUAUCAUCUUUGAUUAAUUUUUUAGUUCUUUUGAUUGAUAUAAGAGUAUAUUGAGGAUUUCUUUCUUUAAGCUUCAUAUCUUUGAUAAAGCAUCUGUAAUUUUUUUCUAAUAAAAUAUUUAGAAAAUUAUCAAAAAUAGAUCCUACUUUAAAUAAUAUUAUCAAAUAUUAGAAGUUUCUUCUAAGGUUGUGAUAUUAAACAUGUUGUAUUGAAAAAAAAAAUAUGUUAUUUUUUACAAUCUUCAUUUCUAUUAUAUUUUCUUAUAAGUUGUGACAAUCUUGAUGUAUCAUCUUAUAAUUCACCAAAACAUAGCUUCUAAGUUGAAUCUAUUCAUUGUUGAUUUUCUAUCUCUUUAAUGCCAUAAAUAUAAAAAAAUCACAAAUAAAGAUAAAUGAUAGAAUGUAAUCUUUAUUCAAUUUUUUUACUUCUAUAGCAAUAAUUGUUUGACUCUUUAUUUUAAUUUUGAUACAUGUUGUCAAUAAAAAAAUCAACUUUUUUUAUUAUAUUUAUAAGAUUCUUAAUUAGCUCUCAUGUGUAUUUAUUGAUAUUAUAUUUUCACCAAUAUAUAAGAUAUUUCAAUCUAUUUUGGUAUUGCAAUGAAUUUAAGACUUUUUCAACCUCAAAUUCUUGAUUAUUUUCCACUUUUAUAAGAAGUUGUGGCAUUUGUCUACUUUCUACUAUAUUCAAUGUCUUAUAUGCCUUAAAAAGAAAUACAUAGAAUAUGAGAUAGAUUUUCAUAGAUUUUGAUAGCUGAAAUUGAUAAACAAUUAGAUUAAACUAUUUACAAAUAAAAAAUGGUCCAAGUCUAUAUUAAUCCAACUUAUGAUAAGAAUAAUUAGUCUUAAUAUUAUAAAAAAAUAACCAUAUAUUUUUCCCACUUGGUAUUCUUGUUUUUCCUUAUAAUGGAUAUUUAUGUUGAUAUUUUUUUAUUUUUGAGCUUCUUUUAAUUAUAAAUUUAUUAUUGCAUAUAGCUCUAAAAAAUAAUUUAUCAAAUAUUUUAUAGUAGGAUUAUUAAUUUUUAAAAAUUCAAAAAUAUCAAAUUAUAGAUAAUAAUCAUAAUUAAAAAAAUAUGAUAUUUGUUGAAUUUAAGAAUUUAACUUAUUAUUAUAAGAAAAUUCUACUAUUAGUGAAUAAAUUUUUGACUCAUUUUAAUGGCAAUUCAUGGUACAACUUAAAUAUUGUUUCAAAAUUUUAUUUAUCUAUUCAAUUUGUCCAUCAAUUUAUAGAUAGAAAGCAAAAGAUAAUCUUAUAUCUUCUUUUAAUAUCUUAAAAAGUAUUGUUUUAAAACUUGAUACAAAUUAAAUUUUUUUAUUUAGCAAAAUAUUCUUUAACAAUAUAUAAUAAUUACUAUCAUUAUUAAAAAAAUAUUUAAUUAUUUCGUUACUUAUGAUAGAUUUUGUAUAUAAUACAAAAUGUGCCAUUUUAGUGAAACAAUCUACUAUCACAAAUACAGAGUCAUAAAAACUUAAGAUUGAAAGAUAUUUGAUAAAAUCUAUAAAAAUAAAAGACUAUAAUUGUUGAAGUAUAGGUAAUAAAUGAAGAAGUCCAUAAGGUCAACAAUAAAGAAUUUUUAAUCUUAAAUAAAUGUCAUAUGAUUGUACAAAGUCUUUAACUACCUUUUUCAUAUGAAUCUAAUAAAAAUCUUUAGAUCUUAGCUUUAAAGUCUUAUUAUAUCCAAAAUAUCCUACAAUUGAAAAGUUAUAAUGAACUUGAAGAACAUAUAAUUAUGCUUCACCUUUUAGAAUAUAUAAAUAUCUUUCAAAAUAGAAUAGAUUAUUUUUGAACUCAAAUUUUGAGGUAUCAUAAAAUUUAGAUAGAUUAUUUUUAAUUUCAUAAACAAAAUUAUUUGAAGAUAUAUCUAACUUGAUUAAGAAAAGUUGAAUUAAUAAUCAAUAUUGAUUUCAUUGCUUGAAGAUGAAAUUGCUUUGACUUCAAAAGAAUUAUUUGUUAUUGAUUUAAAAUUAUAUUUUUUUCUUUUGGUACAAAAUAAAAAAAGUCUAAAAAGGGCAUUAGACAAACCUUGUUGUUUUUAUAAUCAAAAAGUGAUCUUAAAUUCAAAUUUUGACAAAGAAAUGUUUCAAUAAAUAUAUCAAAAAUUUAAAAUAUAUAUUGGUAUAAAGUAUUUGAAAUUCUUGUGAUCUAUAUAUAUAAUGGCUAAACUUAAAGCGCCUUCUAGAUAAUAAUGUUAUUCUUCAAAUGGAUCCACAAUUGUAAGAUGUUUUUUAUUGUGAAUAUCAUAGUUAAUUUUUGUUGCUAAAAAAAAUUCAAAUAAAAAUCUACUAGGUGAUGUUUGUCUUUUUCUUCUAUUUAAGAUAAUAUAAUAUCUAAAAAAAAGUUUGAUAUAUUUUGUUUCUAUAAAAAAUAACUUAAAAAAGUUAAUAUAAUAUAAAAUUGGUAUAGAAGUAAAAAUUGACUUCAAAGCUUCAAAUGAUGUUUUUUUCUUUUUUAUUCUACUUAAGUUUGUCUUUAAAAAUCAAAUAUAUAAAUGAAGCUACAAUUUAAAAAAAUUCUUGAUAAAAACUUGAUAGUAAUUAAUAAAAUUUAAAAAAUAUUAAACAUCUCUUAUUAUUUUUAAAUUUUUUUAAUCUAUGAUAGUUUGAAAUUUCUUAAGAUCUAUCAUAGGACCAUCAUUUGAAAUGAUAUAUUCUAAAAAUAUAACUUAAGUUAUAUAAAAUAUAUACUUUUUUUAUAUUGGCAUAUAAUCUUAUAUCUUUAAGUUUUUGUAAUAUACAAUAAUUAUAAAAUUAAUGCUCUUCUAUAUUCUUAAAAUAAAUUAAGAUAUUAUCUAAAUAAUAAAUAAUAAAAUCAUCUAAAAAAUAUUUAAAAAUAUUAUUUAUAAGAUAUUUAAAAGUAAAAAAUAUAUUUAUAAAUUCAAAAGACAUGAAAUUACAUUCAAAAUAUUCAUAUUUUGUUUAAAAUGUAGUCUUCUAUUUAUCUCAUUUUUUGAUAUAUAUAGAUUGUAUGCUCUUCAUAUAUUCAUUUUUGUAAAGAUUUUUUUUGUUUUUAAUUAAUUUAAAAAACUUAAAACUAAAUGCUUAAGAUGCUUAUUUUUAAUAGUGAUUCUUUUAAGUCCGUGAUAAUCUAUAUACAUUUUGAUUGUCGUUUUACUUACUCUAAACUAAUCUAAUCAAAAUAAACUUGUAUAGGAAGAUUCAAAUAUGGGAAAAGACUAUCCGCAUGAGUUUUCAUAUUAGGAUCAUAUAAUUAAUUAUCUCCUGAUCAACUAAAACAUCCAAGAAAGCUACAAUGCCUUCUACAUUCUAUCAAAUAAAAUAUUACAAUCAAUAAUUAUAUCUUAUGCAUUUACUAUCUCUUCUUCUUUCUAUACUCAUGAUAACAAUGGAUAAUAUUAUACUAUUAUAAAAGACUACAUAAAACAUUCCAUAAUCUAAUCACUAGAAUUUUCCAAAAUUAAUUUUCAUUUCCAAUAAUCUAUUUUACACAAUUUCAGACUCCACAAACUUCUUCUUGGCAUACUUUCAACUCUCAGAAAUCAAUGUAUUAUAAUUCUCCCAAUCAUAUCCAUGCUUCACAAACAUCUUUUAAUAUCGGCUUUCUAAUCCUUCACUUAUAAUUCAGCAUACAAUAAAUUUAAUUUCUUAUUUGACAUCAUAUAAAUCAAAUUUUUUUUUUAUUUCAAAAUUUCACUUCACAUUAUUCAAAUUCUAUGAAUUAUUCUUCUUUUAUAAAGAAAACAAAGAAACAAAGAAUUAGAACCAAGCUUACCUCGGCUCAUGACUAUCAUAGUCUCGCCCUGUCUACUUUUUUUUCAAACUACUUACGUUUUCUUCAAAAUGCCAACCACUACACAAGCAUAACUACUUUUUUUGACUAUAUCAUCCAUCUUGCCUUCUAAAAUAUCCAUUCAUUAAUUUAUUAGCUUCUCUUAAUCUUACAUAUUAUAUAAUGUAAAAUAAAAAAAAUCUUAUUCAUUCUACAUAGCCCCACUCUUAACUAUACAACAUCUUUGCAAACAUAGAAUUGAUAAAAAUAAACUUUUUCAAUAAAAUCUUUACAAAGUUUUUAACCCUCUAGCUCACUAGAUUGAUCAAUUUUAACCUUCUUCAUAGCUGGUUCUACUGAUUUCGGUUCUAAUGAUAAGUCCUCAUCUUCCUCGGAUACUUCCAUCAGCUCCCUCUUCAAUUAGGCUGAUAAGUCUUCAUUAUAUGCUCUCAAUUCAUAAACUUGAGCUUCCAACUGUAGAAUCCUUACAUCUUUCACUUUCAAAUAGUGUUGCUGUUGCCUCACCUUCUCUUUUAAUUCAUCAAUUAUUGAAACAGGUGGAAUAGACAUCUAUAAUUGAUCAAUAUUAGCUAAAUCAUUCUCUAGUUUUAUCACUAUAGCUUUCAAGGUUUCAAUUUUUAUUCGUAACUUUUUCGUUUCAAUUCUAUACAGUCAUCCAAUGUCUAUUUUUUUUGUUGCAAUAAUGCUACCAUUUCUUGUUCUAUUUCUAAUUGAUUCUUUAUCUUUUUUUCAUUACAACAUUGAUGUACUAUAAAUUUGAAUUAGGUCUUAUCUUUAGCCUUUCAUGAUACGUUGAAUGCAUUUUUUUUUUCCAAGCUUCUUAUUUUUUUCUAAAUUUAUACUCUAAUAGAAACUUGGAUUCCAUAUUUAUCUAAAUAAUUCAAUCUUGUUCUUUAAUUCGAUGGCUUUUUUCGAAUAUCACUUUCCUACUCCCCUCCAAUUGCUACCUUGAAUUUUCUUCCCCAUCUAAUUUACUCACCGUGAGCUAUAAUUGAGAAAUCUAAGUCAAUAUGACAUCCUUGAGAUUCAUUCUUCUUGGUAUUUUAUCCUGUGGAAAUACUAACUAGUUUAUAUCCAUCAAAAUUGAAACUUCAACCUUCACCUCUAUAGCCUAACAAAUUGGAACCUACUCUAGUAUAGUUUUUGGUAUAGCCUUCCAUCCCAAUGAGUAACUUGAUUCUUCAAUUUUAUGCACCAUGAUCCCUGGACUAGCUGUUAGUGCCAUUAAACUCCAAACACUUUAUUGAGGCAUUAGAGAGGAUUUUCUCUCUAUCUAUAGCUCUCUUCACUCUUUCCAUUGAUAUUACGGAAUACUUGCACCUCACUCCUUGUUCACACUAACACUAUUUUUUUGCUUACUGAAGUAAAUCCUACAGUCCAAUAGUUACACUCUAAACAAUAAUAUUCAAAAUGCUGAAGAAAACUUCUACUAAGUGCCUUACUUCUAACUUUUUACUUGGGGUAUGGAUCAAGAAGCCUUAAUCUUAUUAAUCAUUAUUUCACUUCUGAUUUUUCUGACUAAUCAAUAUUAGGACCCACAACCAACCACCAUCUGUCUUUAAUAUCCAUCAUAUAUCUAUAAAUAUAAGUAAUCUAUCAUUAUCAAAUAAACCAUCUUCCUUAUAAUUUUUGAAACCCAUCUCGGAUUUACAUAUAAUAAAGUUGCAAUCAAUUUUUGUUGAUAUGUAUAAUAAAUUGAAUAUCCAUAAAAUCUUCUAAUUGAAUUGAAUCAUUAGAAAAAUCUUCCACUAUAUGAUAUAGUCCAUAUCAAUAGACUUGAAAUUUUUUUAAUUUUUUUUUAAAUCGUCCAUCAUAAAGAAGCACUAGAUCAUUGGGCAGAAACAAUUUGAGACGUAAUUUAUUAUCAUAAUAAUUCUUAUGUCGACAAUGUAUAGCUUCCAUAGUCAGAAGAGUCUUAGUCCUAACUUCAUCCAAUUAUUCCAAUUCUGCUAACCGAUAUUGGAGGGAGUCCUUGUCACCAAGACAUUUAUCCAACGUAAUUCUCAAACUUUAAACUUCUAAUUCAAUUGGUAAUAUUGUCUCUUGUACGUAUAUCAAUUAAAAUGGUGUAGAAUUGAUAGUAACUUUAUAUAUAGUAUAAUAUGCCUACAAAAUUAUAAAUUAUUUAAUAUCCCAAUCCGUUCUCACAUCAAACAUUAUCUUAGUUAAAAAUUUGCAAACAAUUCAAUUGGUUUUUUCAGUCUGUCCAUUGACUCAAGGAUGAUAUGGGAUUAUUUUUUGAUGUUUGAUCUCAUAUUUAUCUAUCAAGGCUAUAAUUAUAGAAUUAAUAAAAUGUCAGAUAUUAAAUCAAUUUAUUAUAUUUGGAAGUAAUCAUGUCGACGACAAAUAAUUUUGCAUCAGAUAGGACAUCAUUGAUAGGCUCAUUAUCCAAUAUAUUAGAUAAAUGAGACAUGUAAUUCACAUUGGUAUGUUUUUUUUUUUUUUUUUUCUGAUCUGACAUUGAUAUUAAAGUUAAAUUUUUGAAGUAGUAAUACCCAUUGAGCAAUGCGUCCACUCAAUUGAAGUUUAUUAAUCAUAUACUUAAGAGCAUUGUAAUCAAUAUAAAAUACAAAGUCAUAACCAAGCAAAUAAUGCCAAAAUUUUUGAACAGAAUAAAUCAUUAUUAAAGCUUACCGUUCAAUCGUAGUAUAAUUUUAUGCAACUCCAAUCAAUUGUUGUCUAGCAUAAUAUAUUGGAUGAUUCAAAUUCUUUUCUUCUUUCUGACUCAACACAAAUUAAAUAGCAAUAUUAGAUGCAUCAACAUAAAUAUAAAAUAGUUUAGUCCUACAAAGUGCAACCAAUAUUAGUGUAGAUACAAAUUUUUGUUUCAAUUCCUCAAAUGCAAUUGUACAUUCUUCAAUCCAAAUUAGACUAGAUCCAUCCAUUGUGGAUUUCUUUAAGAGAUUAGUUAGAAGCUGACAUAUGACUGCAAAUGAAUGAAUAAAUUGUCAAUAAUAAUUGAUAUGGCUGACAAAACCACAAACACUUGACUCUAUUUUUGGCUAUGAUAAAGCCAAUAUAUGAAUAAAUUUAUUUCGAUCAAUAGCAAUAUCAGCCAUAGAGAUGAUGUAUCCUAAUAAUUUAUUAGACAAUAUUCCAAAUUGAUAUUUCUCUUAAUUCAAAGAGAUCCCAUAAUGGCCAUGUUGUUCUCGUUGUGUUCAAGCUUCAACAUACCAAAGCAAUUGAACUAAUAGAUGUGGGUUUGAACACGGGAAAAGACUAGUUAUAUGAAUUGGGUAUGUUAGUGUCACAAUUGAUUGUACUCGAGCUAUCUAAAAUCAAUUAUCAAACUACAAAACAUCAAGGCUUACUACUUCUAUCUUAAGUCAAUCCAUAAUCUAUUCUAUGACUAUCAAUUUAACAAUACUUCCAUAUUCUUCUCCGUUCAUCUCCCACUUACUCUCUUUGUGGUUCAUAUAUAUUUAAUUACUGAUCUCCAGCUUACUUAUUAUAUUCAGUUUCUCAAUUCAUCACAAAAAAUUCAAUAUCUCGGCUUACGACUUUCACAGUCUGGCACUCUAGACUAACUUUUCAGAAUUUAGAAACUAUCCAUUAUUUGUCAACAACAAAGAAACAAAAAGAGGUAACACCAAGCUUGCCCCGGCUUGUGACUAUCAGAGUCUGGCCCCAAUUUCUCUUUCUUCAACCUCUUUAUCCUACUAAAAGAUGGACCGUCGAUUAGCAGAUUCCAAAGAUUAUGAUGCUUUGAAUUCUUAACCAUUUAUUUUACUAACAACCUACUGUUAUCAACUAAAUUACCUAACUAUCAUUCUAAUUCUCAAGGUUAUCAAUAACCAACUAGUAACUUACCACAAAGUUUAUUUGCCUAUUCUACAUAGUUCUACUCCUAUUUGUACAGCAUCUUCGCAAACAUUAUUUAGCCUCAACUUAUAAAGAUGUAACAGCAUUGGCUUCUUCAGUCAAUGGCAUUGGUUUACCACCCUUUGAAUUAGUGACCUACUCCUCUUUACAUCUUUGUCAUCUGCCUCAGUAUUCGAGGAUUCUCCAUCCAAACGCACUGUCAGAUCUUCAUUCAACAAACCCAAUUCCCAUACUUGAGAUUCACAUUGACCAAUUUGGUUGUCAAGCUCCUCCAACAUCUUCUGCCAUUCUUUUGUCGAUUUCAAAGGUAUCUCCAAACGUGUUGUCAUUGAAACUGGUAUAUUGGUCUGCACUAAAUUAUUGGCCUCCUUUGCUAAUACAGCUAGUUUAAUCUGCAACAUCACAACCUCUACCUGGAGCCAUUCUUGCCAUUUCUUCCAAUCAGUCUCCAACCUUGCUUUCUCAAACAUCAUAUUCACCAUCUUCUCCUUAACCACAAAAGAAAACACGAUGCUUCUUAAGAGCUUCCCUCCUACUUCUUACUAUGGUCCAAUCAAUUUGAUCGACUCUCCCUUAUUUUCCACGAUUCGUCAUGAUGAAAUAUCCUAUCAUCAUUAUUUACCCCCCCCCCCUUGCCCUUUUGGAACAGAAAAUCCGUCCUGGAUUUAUGUAUACUAAAAUUUAAGUCAAUUUCCAUUGAUCCAUGUCAUAAAUUUAACACCCAAAAAAUCUUCAAAUUGUACUAAACUAUUUGGAAAUCCAUCAAUAACUUGAUAUGGCCCAUGCUAUCGAACUUGAAAUUUUUUUAGAAAAUUUUUAAAUCAGCUAUCAUAAAGAAGUACCAAAUCAUUUGGCAUAAAAGCCUUUGGUCUAAGCUUACUAUCAUAAUAAGUUUUCUUUCAUUUUUGUGUAGUUUCCAUGAUCAUUAAUGCAUUGGCUCUAGUUUCAUCUAAUUUUUUUAAUUCUUCUAAAUGGUGCCGUAAUGAAUCAUGAUCUGUCAAUCUAAUAUCUAUAGCAAUUCGUAAACUUUGGACUUCCAAUUCAAUAGGUAAUAUUGCUUCCUUGCCAUAAACUAAUUGGAAAGGGAUAGCAUUGGUAGUAACUUUAUACACAUUAUGGUAUGCCCAUAAAGUUGCAAACAACUUAGUGUCCCAAUCUGUUCCCGCUCUUGAAACUAUUUUUGUUAAGAUUUUACAUAAAAUUCUAUUAGUCUUUUUCAUUUGUCAAUUGGCUCUAGGGUAAUACAGUGUAGUCUUUUGAUGUUUUAUCUCAUAUUUAGCUGUAAGUGCUUCAAUUGCACUAUUUAUAAAAUGAGUUCCUUGAUCACUAACCAAUUCUCAUGGACAACCAAACCUUGUAAUAAUAUUUUCAUACAAAAAGGUUGCUAUUGUACUUGUACUAUCGAUUUUCAUAGCUACUGCUUCAGCUCAUUUUGUUACAUAAUCCAUUGCUACCAAUUCAUACCAUUUUUGUCCAUUCUCGAGGCUGGUGCAAUUGGUCCCACAAAAUCAAUUCUUCAUUUUUCAAAAGGUGCUUGAGCCAAAAUUGGUACCAAUAGCAUUGCUAAAGUUCUAGUAGGUCGACCCAUUCUCUGACAUUGGUCACAAUGACGGAUGAAUUGGUGGGCAUCGGCAAACAUUGUUGGCCACCAAUAACCAGCCUGUAAAGCUUAACGAGCCAUACUGUCCCCUACAAAAUUUCCACCAUAAUUGUCCAAGUGGCAACCUUCCAAUAUAGUAUGCACUUCAGUCUGAUAAAUAUAGUGUCACAAAACUCCAUCCUUACCUUGUUUAUAUAAAGCUUCACCAAUCAUCGUAUAAGGUGUACAUUUUAAUAUUAAGCAUCAUUUAAGCUUUUCAUUGAAAUUAGGUAGGAAGGUUUGAAAUGUCAAGUAUUGAAUUAUUUCACUAUUCUCCAGAGUAAUUACAUCUAUCGCAAACAGUUUUGCAUCGGGUAGUGCAUCGUUAAUGGGUUCAUUAUCCAAUAUAUUAGAUAAUCGAGAUAAAUGGUCCGCAUUGGAAUGUGAUUUUCUUGGUCUUACCUCAAUAGUAAAGUCAAAUUUGUGUAAUAGUAAAAUCCAUCGUGCAAUAUGACCACUCAAUUGAGGCUAAUUAAACAUAUAUUUUAAAGCAUCAUAGUCGACAUGAAAAACAAAUUUAUAACCAAGAAGAUAAUGUCGAAACUUUUGUAUGGAAUAAAUCAUCCCCAAUGCUUCUCUUUCAGUUGUUGUAGAAUUUCUUUCAGUUGCUACCAAUUGACGACUUGCAUAAUAAAUAGGAUGAUCAAAAUCCCAAUCAUCUUUUUGGCUUAGCACAAAACCAAUUGCAUCAUUAGAUGCAUCCACAUAAACUCUGAAUGGUUUUGUCCAACAAGGUGCCAUAAAUAUUGGUGCUGAAACUAAUUUCUAUUUCAAUGUUUUGAAUGCAAUUGUACAUUCUUUUGUCCAAAAUGGACUGGUUCCAUUGAUUAGUGGUUUCUUCAAGAAAUUUGUCAAGAAAAGGUAUAUAACUACGAAUAGAUAAAUAAAUCACCGAUAAUAAUUGAUAUGGCUGAAAAAUGCUUGAACAUCCAUAAUAGUAUCUGAUUGCUUUAAUUCUACUAUAAUCUUUAUUUUAUCUAGAUCUAUAGCAAUGCCUACCAUCAAAACUAUAUGACCUGACAGUUUAUCAGAAGGCACACCAAUUUGGUUUUUUUUUAAAUUUAAAGAAAUUCCAUAUUUGGCACAUUGAUUCAAAUAUUGACCUAGACAUUCUAAAUGCCUAACUCUCGUAUUAAAUGUACAAAAAUCAUCUGGAAAUAUUUCCAUUGAAAUUUGUAGAUAAUCUUGGAAUGCUUGCAUCAUUAUCCUUUGAAAUCUAACUGGUGCAUUACAAAGUCCAAACGGCAUAACCUUAUAGGCAAAGGUCCCCCAAUCCGUAGUAAAAGUAGUUUUUAACAGAUCUUCUUUUGCAAUCUUAACUUGAUUAUAACCAAAGAAUCCAUCAAGAAAUGAAUAACAUUCUUGUCCAACGACAGCAUCCAAUAUACUAUCCAUGAAUGGUAAAAGAAAAUAAUCCUUCUUGGUAGCCACAUUUAAUUUACAGAAAUCUUAAUAGAUGCAAAUUUUUCCAUUGUUUUUUGGUACCAUAACAAUUGGUGAAACUCAUUCAUUGAAAGGAACUGGAUAGAUUAAUCCAACCUCCAAGAAUUUAUCCAGCUCUUCUUUUACUAUAAGUAAGUAUUUUAAAUUAAGUUGAUGUUGUCUUUGGCGUACUGAUAUAACGUUCUCCUCCAAUAUAAUUUAAUGUUCACAAACUUUAGCUAGAAUUCCUUUCAAAUCCGCAUACGACCAUGCGAAAGCAAUUUUAUGCAUUAAAAAGUAAUCCACCCAAAUUUCUUUCUCCUUGCCUUUUAUACCGUCGUAAAUUUGAAUGACUUGGGGAGCCUCCCUUGUACCUAAAUUAAUUGAUUGACAUCAUGGAAUUUCAAGAGUCUCUAGAAUAAUAUUAUAUCAAUACUUCUUAAAAUAUCCAUAGAUUUAACUCGACUGGAGUCAACCAUUCUCAAAACUACUAUAAUAGGUAAUAAGUGAUGCAAAUCCAACUCCUCCAUUGUAGCACCAUUCAUAAGAUUUAUACUAGAUCCUCCAUUUACUUACACUCCUAAUAAUAACACCCCAUCAAUUGAGACAUCAAUCAUUGGUGCAUCUGGAUCGGGAUUCAAACUUACUUCUUGGAUUUUUUUAUUUCAAGAUUUGUGACGAAUUAAUCAGAAAUUCAAGAUAGUUUGGCAAUCACGUGUUACCCCCAAUAGUUGCUUCAUAGAGAUCGUGGAUUGUAUGGUCCACAAAUCUUUUAGAAUAUCAUAUGGUUCUGUAUUAGUGAUAAUUUUCAAUAUCCGUUUCUUCUUCCUAUUCCUAGACAAUGACGCAGGUAAAUUGAUUUUUUUUAUAUUAGAAAUUGGUAAAGCUACUAGAAUUGAAUUUGACGGAGCUUGUAAAAUUGGUUCUUUCAACGGAUAAGAUUGUUCUCCCAAUUGGAUUGAUAUUGGUUCCUUGGAAUUCACGCCUCUUAGAGGAUCUUUCAAUGAAAAUGACGUUUUCUGAAACUAUAUAGAGAACGGAACAUGUUGACAUGAAACCGAAGCAUCCGUAAUUGGUACCUCAUUGAGGUGCACAAUCGAUUCAGGUCUUAUACUAAAUAAGGGGCCCAUGUCAAGACCUGGAUUGGAUGGCUCUAUAAUUGGGUCUAAUUGGCCCUUCGCUUUAGGAUCACCCAAAUAUUGAAUUGGUCCUUUCUCCUUUUGCUGACUUCUUAUAUGAACAGCUUGGACUACUUCUAUCUAAUGAACUAGUGAUUCCUAAGUCCCGCUAUUUUUUUCCUCUACAAUUUACAAAGUCGAUUGUAUCUUUUGAUCAUGAUUAUUAGGGUUAAAUGGAACAUUGCAUUGAUAAUGAAAAUAAUUCGAUUGCUUACAAUUUUCACAUACUUGAGCAUAUUCGUCUAUAAACCUUAAAUUAGGGCAUUCACUGGCAUAAUGACCAAUUUACCGGCACCGGUAGCAACGUAGUGGUUUUUGACCCAUUUUGUUAGAUAUACUUGGAGUCUCUACUGGAAUAUAUCUAUUAGGCCGAUUUCAGGUAGCUAUAGUAAAUGAUCUUGGCUGACCAGUUGCUACUGUUCGAGAAUUGGACUGUUGAAUUGGUAUAAUUUGGAGAUUAUCUCCUUGAUUAUUUCCAUCGUUCUGUAUCUUUGUUCUAUAAACCGGAUUAUAAUUAGUAUUUUAAAAAAUUCCAAAGUCAUGAUUAGAUCUAUUUGAGCGAUUACUAUUCCAACCAUCCACAUUUCCAGUCUAUACUUGAUUGACAUCUCAUUGAGUUGACUGUAUCGUCUGGUUAUUGAACUGUUGUUGCCUUUGUAAAUGCCAACAAUUUUGGGUAGGGUACUUUCCUCCAUAAAAUAUACAUUGAACACCUGUUUGUCUAAGUGAUGGUCAUUUUGUAUCAAAAUGAUCUUGUCCCUUACAAUUAUCAUACCACAUAUUAGGUCUCAUAUUAGAAGGCUUAUGUCAUUUCUCCUUAUCUUUAGCCAAAUUCACGGCCAAUUCUUCCAUCUUCUUUGUUAGAUUUAAUAACAAGGCUUCAUUUGGAUCUUUAAUAGUUGCAUUUGUGAACAACUCUAGUUGUUGAUAGGUUGGUGAUGUAAAAUAAGGUGUCAUUAUUAUUGGCGCUAUUGCUUGGAGUGGUGUAGCAUUAAUUGGUUGUUUCAAUAUAACAUUCUUCACAUUGGAGGCAGCCAUUUGUGGAUAAUUAUCCAUCAACAUAUUUCUCGAUUGUAUUUGUUGGCUGCUUGAACUUGGAAUCAUCGUGGCCCCCACUAUUAACAAUUGGUCAUAAUGACAUUCUCUCCACACCUUUGUUCGUGCCAAUGAUGCCUCUACUAUAGCUAGAUGAGCCUCUUUUAUAAACAUUUUUAAUUUUAGUGGAUGCAAACCAUUGAUUAAUAUCGACAAUAUAAAUGCAUCUGGCAUUUGAUUAUUUAUCCAUGACCCGGCCAUAAUAGGACUCCACUAAUUCCCCCGCAAACAUCCUGCUAUUCAUAAAAUUUUCUCUAAGCUGAUCUUCAAAUCUAAUUGGUCUAAAAUGGGUUAGGAAGUUAUUCCUCAAGGCCUCUCAAUUGAAAAAUCUACCCACUGGUUGCCAAAUAUACCAUUCAAAAGCUGUAUCUUUUAAAGUUACUGGCAACCAUCUCAAUCAAAUGUCUUCAGUUCUACUAUUAUUAGUCACAUAGGCUAUCAAGAAUUGAGAUAUAUGGUGAUCGAGAUUAGAGCCCGACUAACUACUAAAAGUAGGUAAUAGUGCCACACUUGUAGUUUGGUCUUCUCUUGCUCCCAUUUGUACUACAAUUAAUACUUCUGAUACUCCCGCGGCCAUUGGUAUUAUCACUAGUCUCGUUGUUAUUUCAAUUUGAAUUUUUCUUCCUUUGGUUUUACUUGGACCUACAAAUCAUUUUUAUCGUUUCCGUAGGAAAUUUCUUGUGCGUAAUCGCUCCUGUCAUUUUUUGCUUGUCGAUUAAUUCUUUGAUAAUCCUCCUCUUCAUGAUUAUUAUUCAUAAUCUUUCAUUCUUCUUUACAAAAUCAAUACUAUCUUGAAUUAUAACUCAUAUAUUUGUAAUCCUAAAACUGGUUCUUCUCAUGUUCUUAUUCAACAUAUAAUUCUAUCUCCCAUACAAUCAAUUUCUAACAUUUCAUAUUGUUAUCAUUUUCCCGACAGCGGUACCAAAAUGUUGUUCUUGUUGUGUUCAAGCUUCAAUAUACCAAAGCAAUUGAACUAGUAGAGGUGGGUUCGAACACGGGGAAAGACUGGUUAUAUGAAUUGGGUUUAUUAGUGUCACAAUUGACUGUACUCUGGCUAUCUGAAAUCAAUUAUCAAACUAUAAAACACCAAGGCUUACUACUUCUGUCUUAAUUCAAUCCAUAAUCCAUUCUACAACUAUCAAUUUAACAAUACUUCCAUAUUCUUAUCCGUUCAUCUCCCACUUACUCUCUUUGUGAUUUAUAUAUAUUCAAUUACUAAUCUCUAUUUACCUAUUGUAUUCAAUUUCUCAAUUCAUCAUACAAAAUUCAAUAUCUUGGUUUACAACUCUCAUAGUCUGGCACUCCAAACUAACUUUUCAGUAUUCAUGAACUAUCUAUUACUUGUCAACAACAAAGAAACAUAAAGAGGUAGCAUGAAGCUUGUCUCGACUUACGACUAUCACAGUCUGGCCUCAAUCUCUCUUUCGUCAACCUCUUUAUCCUACCAAAAGAUGGACCGUCGGCCAGCACAUUCCAAAGGUUAUGACUCUUUGAAUUCUUAACCAUUUAUUCCACUAUCACCUACUGUUACCAACUAAACUAUCUAACCAUCAUUCUAAUUUUCAAGGUUAUCAAUAACCAACUAGUAACUUACCAAAAAGUUUAUUUGCCUAUUCUAUAGGCCACAACAAUCCAAACACUUACCAAGUUAUUCUAAAUGAUCAACCUUCAUACUAAAUGUGUAAAAAUCAUCUAAAAAUAUCUCUAUCAAAUGUCAUAAAUGAACUUGAAAAGCUUAUGUCAUUAUUCUCUGAAACGUUGCUUAGACAUUACAUAAUCCAAAUGGCAUAACUUUAUGAGCAAAGAUCCCUCAGUCUGUAGUGAAAGUAGUCUUUAACUGAUCUUCUUCUGUAAUUUUAACUUGAUUGUAAUCCAAAAAUCCAUCUAAAAAAGAAUAUCAUUCAUGCCCAGCUACCACAUCUAAGAUAUUAUCUGUAAAAGGUAAAGAAAAAUAAUCCUUUUUAAUAGCCACAUUUAAUUUAUAAAAAUAUUGAAAAAUUUGGAUUUUUCCAUUUUUCUUUGGUACCAUUACAAUUAUUAAAAUCCAUUCACUAUACAAAAUUGGAUAAAUAAUAUCUACAUUAAGAAGUUUUUUUGAUUCCUCUUUUAUCAUAAAGAAAUAUUUUAGAUUGAGGCGAAGUUGUCUUUCACAAACUGGUAUAGUAUUCUCCUCCAAAAUAAUUUAAUGCUCACAAACUUCAAUAGGAAUGCCUUUCAAAUCUACAUAGGACUGCACAAAAGAAGAUUUAUGAUUUAGGAAAAAAGCCUUCUAGUUUUUCAACUUGAUAUCCAUAAUCUCAUUGUAUACUUUGAUAACCUACAAUGUUUCAUUAGUAUCUAAGUUGAGGAAUUGGCAUAUAAGUUUCUCAGCAACAUCCAAUUUAAUUUUCUUCUCUGGUUCGUAAUCUUUUAUAUAAUCUGAUAAAUUAAAACUAUCGAAUUCUGAUUCCAAUGCACUGACUUCAUUAACUGGGAAAUUAUUCAUCGAAUCGGCAAUAGCAUGAUUAGAGUUUGUUGUAUCCUCCAGAUAUACUAAAUAUUCUCCAGGUCCUCUACAAUUGGUACAAUAUGCCUUGUUUUUGCACAUGAAGUGAGUUAUCACCAACUUGUAUUGCAUAGAUAAUUUCAUCAUAUUCAGCAUCGGAUUGACCCUCAUUGUCAAACGUUACUUUUAAAUCUAGAAUUUGACAUUCUCCAUGAUAUUGAACUAGAUUUAUUUAUAAUACAAUCUUAUCUUUUCUUUUCUCAAUAGUCAAUAUUCCAUGGCCCUAAUCAUUUCUAGCUUUGGUUUGAUAUAGUCAUGGUCGAUCCAAUAAGAUUAGAAAGGAUAAUAUAGAACUCUAUAAUCAAAAAAUAAUAUAAUCAAUUUUGUAUAUGAUUCCAAGAAUUACAGUGUCAAUAGUGCAUAAGAUAUCCAUUGGUUUCAUUUGACUAUGAUCUGCCGUUCUUAAUAUCAAUAUCAUGGGUAAUAAUUGUUUUAACUCCAAGUCCUCUAUUAUAUUGGCAUUCAUUAGAUUCACACUAGAGCCACCAUCCACUUGAACUCUAGAAAUAAGAAUACCAUCAAUAGAUACAUCAAUAGUUGGUAAUCUCGUAUUAGGAUUUAAAUUAAUUUUACAAAUUUCUGUAUUAUGGAACCUACAUCUUAUUAAUGAGGAAUUCAAUGUAGAAUAACAUUCCUAGGCUACAGCCAAAAGUUGCUUCAUUGUAAUAGAAGGCUAAAUUAUAUGUAAAUCUUUUAAAAUAUCAUAUAGUUCUAUAUUAAUAGUGAUUUCCAGCACCUUCUUCUUUUUCAUAGAUUUCAACUUAAUUCCUUGAGAUAAUAUAUACUUUUUUAUAAAAUUUGCAUGUGGAAUAGUUGAAUGAACUUUUUUGAAAUAUCUGUCUAUGAGAAGAUCCUUUAAUGUAUAAGACGGCUCUUGGAACUUCCUAGAUAGUGGUAUUGAUUUAUAUUGAAUCAAUACCUCAGUACUAAGAAUAUCAUUGGAUUGCAUAGAUGGACCAGGUUCCAUUGUUGGUAAUGUUUUCAAUACAGAUAUUGGAUUUGGAGUUUCCAUAAUUGAUAUGAAGUGGUUCUUCACAACUAGUGUAUCCAAUUGUUGAAUUGGAUCUUUUUUUUUUUAUUGACCCUUUGUAAGAACUACAUUAACCACCUCAAUUUGAUGUACUAGGGAUUCUUGUUGAACAUGACUUUUAUCAUCUGACUAUUGGCUUGACUAUAUUUAUUGAUCCUGAUUAUUGAAAUUAAAUGGAGCAUUAUACUACUAAUAACUGUGUCCAAAGUCCUUACAAUUUUCACAUAUUAGAGCAUAUUCGUCACUGGCUCUUGGAUUGGGACAUUCACUAGCAUAAUAUCCUAUCUACUUAUAAUUAUAACAUCAAAGUGGUCUUCUUUCAACUCCAUCAAAAAUAUUGGGUGUUUCUUCUAGUAUAUAUCAGCUAAGUAUCUUCCAAGUUGGAUAGAUAAAUGAUUUCAGUUGUUCAGUUGAUAUUAUAGAAUCUAAAAUUGAUUUUUGAAUAGGUAGAUAUUAAAAAUAUCUUUGUUGAUUUUACUCAAUACAUUGAGAAUUGGAUCCACACUGCUUAUAUAUAGAAUUUUGAAUAUUAGAAAAAUUUCUAUUUUGUUUGUUUGAAUGAUUUCUCCUCAAGCCAAACCUAUUUCUUGUUUGGACUUGAUUAAUAUUCUACAAAGUUGGUUGAAUCAUGGUUUGAUUACUGAGUUGUUGUUGUUUUUGUAAAUUCCAACAAUUGGUGGUGGCAUACUUACAUCUACAAAAUAUACAUUACACAAUCAUUUAGGGUGGUGAAGAACAUUCCGUUACCAUAUGGCCUUGUCCUUUACAAUUACUGCAUCAAAUAUUGGGGUGCAUAUUGAUUAAUUUAUGCUUCUUUUCCUUAUCCUUUGCCAAAUUAACAGCCAAUUCAUCCAUCUUCUUUGUCAAAGUUAACAACAAGGCCUCAUUUGAAUCCUUCAAAAUUAUUUUAUUAGAUAACUCUUUUAUAGAUAUUGGUUUUUAAUAUGGGAGGUAUGGUGAAUAUGGAACUACUUCUAUUAGUAGUACAACUUGUAAUGGGACAAUAUUAAUUAUUUUUUACGGAUUAGCAUUAAGAUUUGGACCGUAAUCAAUCAUUCUUGGAUAACUGCCUACUAUUUCAUUCCAAGCUGGCAUUAGAUAACCUUCCUGAGAUCGAAUCAUUGUAGCUCCUGCAGUUAAGAAUUGGUCAUAAUGACAUUCUUUCCAUACCUUAGCUUGAUCAAGUGAGGAAGCAAUAGUGGCUUGUUAGACAUGCUUUAUAAACAUCUUCAAUGCUCGUGGUUAUAAUCUGUUAACUAAUAUAGAUAAAAUAAAUGAAUUCGGUAUUUGGUUAUUUGACCAUUUAUAAAGGAUAUCUGCUACUUCACAAUAAUAUGACUGCACUACUUCUCUUAAUAAUAUUCUACUAUUCAUUAACCUUUCCUUGAGAGUUCUUCAAAUCCAAUUGAUAGAAAAUGGAUUAAAAAGGUAUUUUUCAAUGCAUUCCAAUUAGAAAAUUGGUCCAGAGGCUGGCAAUUAUACCAUUCAAAUGCUAUGUCUUUUAAGGUCACUGGCAGCCAUCUCAACCAAAUAUCUUAAAUUAUAUUAUUAUUGACUAUACAUGCAGUUAGAAACUAAGAUAAAUAUUGAUCUAGAUCUAUACUUGAAAAACCUUUUAAAGUAAAUAAUGGAGCUACACUAGUUGUGUAAUCGCCCACUGCACCUAUUUGAACUGCAAUUAGAACUACUACAUCUCCCAUCGCCAUUGAAGAUAACAAUGUUCUACUUAAUUACUUAUUAAAAUAAACUCCACUUUCUCUAAUUAUCUUUUCUAGACUUUUUAGUCUCCUCAAUUUACUAUUAUUAUCCACAAAUAAUUUUAUUAAUUGAAUUGGAGGUAAAAAUGAUAGAUUUUAAAAUAUACUAAAUUGGUCCUUAUUAGUAAGCAAUUUAUGCCAUUUUAAAGAAUUAAUCUUACUAAAAUUGGCUGUACCUACUAUUAAAAAAGUACCAAAUGGAGUAUCCAAUCCUUCUAUGCCUCCUUUACUUUUAGUUAAUGCGCUUAAGAGAUAUGCUUGAUUCUUGAUAAAAUUUCUCGCAAGUGCUCUUGGCAAUUUUUUUAACAAUAUAUAUGACUAAAAUAUUAAUGAUCUAUGAGGUUCUUGGUAUACUUGGAUAUGUCGAUAGGCAUGCAACCAUGAUUUAAUCCAACUUGAUUGGCGCUUCUUUUUUAGAUUACAUUUUUGCUCCUAUCACAACAAAUUUUUUGCUUGCAUUCUCUCUUGUCUUUCUUUCAACUGGCAUAUUUUUUUUAGUCCAAUAUUCUCAUUCUUAUUAAUCAUAAUCUUUCAUCAUAUAAUACUGAAAUUACUUUCCAUCUUCAAUCUAACUACAUAUUUGGCUUCACUUUUGAAUCAGCAUGAAUUUUGUAACUUCUUCAUACUACAUCUAUAACUACAUGUUCGACAGUUCAUUCCUAACACUCAAUACUAUUGUCAAUUCUUUGAUGACAGCACCAAAAAUAUGAUUGUCAUUAUACUUACUCUAUACUAAUCUAAUCAAAAUAAAUUUAUAUAAAAGAAUUCAAAUAUAGAAAACGACUAUCUACAUGAGUUUUCAUGUUAGGGUCACACAAUUAACUAUCUUCUAAUCAACCAAAACACCCAAAAAAGCUACAAUGCCUUUCAUAUUCUAUCAAAUAAAAUAUUGCAAUCAAUAAUUCUAUCUUAUGCAUUCACUGUCUCUUCUUCUCUCCAUACUUAUGACAACAAUGGAUAAUACUAUACUAUCAUAAAAGAUUGCAUAAAACAUUCCAUAAUCACUAGGAUUCUCAAAAACUAACUGUCAUUUCCAAUAAUCUACUUCACACAGUUUCAGACUCCACAAACUUCUUCUUGGUACACUCUCAACUCUCAAAAAUCAAUGUUUUAUAAUUCUUCCAAUCAUAUCCAUACUUCAUAAACAUCUUCUAUUAUUGACUUUCCAAUCCUCCUCUUAUAAUUCAGUACACAAUAAAUUUAAUUUCUCAUUUGACAUCAUAUAAAUCAAAUCUUUCUUUCAUUCCAAAAUUUCACUUCACAUUAUUCAAAUUCUAUCUAUUACUCUUCUUCUACAGAGAAAACAAAGAAAUAAAGAGGUAGCACCAAGCUUACCCUGACUCAUGACUAUCAUAGGCUGGCCUCAUCUACUUCUUCUUCAAACUACUUAUGCUUUCCUCAAAAUACCAACGACUACACAACCAAUCAUAAUCACUUUUUUUGACUACAUCAUCCAUCCUGCCUUCUAAACUAUCCAUUCAUUAGUUUACUAGCUUUUCUUAAUCCCACAAACUAUGUAUUAUAAAACAAAAAAAAAUCCUACCCAUUCUACACACAUCCAUAAUAAUUCAUUUUUUUUAAAAAAUAAGAUAAAAAUUCUCAUUAGAAAUUUAAAAUUACACAUAAAUAUUUUAAUUAAGUUCUUAUUUUAUGAUAAUUUGUAGGUUGAUCCAAAUAUUUAUUGAGUUCUUUCUUUCAAAUUAACUCAAAAUAUAUAAGAAAAAUGCUUUAAAAAAAUAUUUAUAUUUAUUUUUUCAAAAACAUCUUGAUAAUCCAAUAUUAGCUCAAAAUAGUACUUGAAUUCAUUCUACCAUUAUAAAUGGAUGUAGCAUAAAUACCAAAAAGGGACGCUUCUUUUGUUCUAUGUAUAAAAGCUUUUGAAUCUACCAAUAAAGAUUUGUAUAUAUAAAACCAAUGAUUUUUUAUAAAAAACUAGAUUAGGGUAUGGAAUAAAUAAAGAUUAUAAUAUAUUCAAUCUAUUUAAAGAUUAUAUUUUUUUAGCUACUAUAAAUAUAAAAUAUUAAAAUUAAAAAUAUAUCUAAUAAUAUUAAAUAUUAUUAAAUUAUUAUGACCAUUAAUUGCUAUAUCUAAAAGAAUAGCUUUAUGAAUAAAAUUUGUAAAAGAUAAUAAACUAUCAUCCAUGAAUUCUCUAUACAUAUGCUUAAUUUUUUUGAUUAAGAAUAUAUAUAUAUUUUUUUAAUAAAAUCUUUAUCUUUAGUACAAACUAAGGUUCUUAAAUCUAAGAAUGUAGAGACUUUUUAAUUUUUUGGUUUUAAAUAAAUAUCUAUUAUAUAAUAAAGUGAAGGAUCUAUAGAAAGAAUAAUACUUUUACUAGGUUUUGUAUAAGAUUUUAAUUGCUUGGUUACUAGUUUAGGUAGAAAAAAUUUAUUUUUUAAUAAAUUAUCAUCUUUGGAAACCAUUUUGUGAUUCUUUUGUUUCUUUGGAUAAUAUUGAUUAGUGUAUUUAGAUUCUUUAUAAUAUAAAGACAAUCUUUUUUGACAAUAUUGAAUCUUUUUUUUCUUGGUGAAGAAUUUAAAAUAUAUCAUAUCAAUUUAUAUUAAUUUUGGCUUUAAUUUAUAAGUUUCCAAAAACUUAGGAAUUGUUACAAUAACCUGAUUUAUAUAUUUUUAGUCAAAUCUUUAUUCUUUGCAUCUUUUAAAAUUUUAAUUUUUGCAUGUAAUGGCUUAAGUAAUAACUUAUUCAAAUAAUUAUGUUUUUGAUAUUGUCAAUAUUAAAUCUUUGGCAUUAUCUUUUAAUCCAUUUAAAAAUUAAUUAAUAAAGGCUUUAUUAUUAUAAUCCAUGUUACAAGUAAGGUUUUAGAUUUGAGCAGCAUAUAUGAUAGCUAAACGUAAUCUUUAUUAUAGAUAGGAGUUACAUCUCUACUAUUCUUUUUUGAUUACCUUCUCCAAAUGUGGCCAUAAAUACUUUCAAAAAUAAAUUUAGAUCAUAUAGAAAUCAUGAAUUAUUUUUUAUUAAAAAUUAAAAUUAAAAAAAAAUACUUCUAUAUAGAAAUAUACAUAUGAAUCCAAAUUGAAUAAAUCUAUCAUGAUAUUAAAAAAGAUGUAAUCUUAGAUAGAGCUUGAUUUGUUGUAAAAAUCCUUGAAAUUUUGAUCUUGUUCUAUUAAACUUCUUUGGCAUACUAAUCUUUGUUUCUCUCAUAUUUGUAGUAGCAUAAAUUCUUGGAUUUAAUUUUAAAAUCAAUGUACUUGCUUCUUUCAAUUUUAUAAAUUUUUAUUGUAGAUAUUAGAUCUCAUUAUUAUUUUUUUCUAUAGAAGUAGAAAUAAUAUCUCUAUGGUUGGCAUUAAUAAUAUGUUAGAUUUUUUAUUUUAUCAAUAUUCAUAAGUCCAUGAAGAUUUGCAAUAGUUUCCAAGGAAAAAAAAAAAAAAAAAAAAAAAAAUUAUAAGUAUAGCAUUUAUAAUUUUUGCUUUUAUUUCUAUGACAAAUGAGUUUAAAAAAUCCAAAAGUUAGAUUAGAAGAAGAUAAUCUACAACCUCUAAUAUCAAAUAAAAAUUUCUAAAAAAAAAGAGCAUUUUAUUUUUUAUACAAAAAGAAUAAAUGUUUAAAAAAAUUAACUUAAAAGUGGGUAGUCUACAACUUUUAAACCUCAACAAAAGAAGUAGAGUAAUUUACUUACUUUAAACAAAAAAUGAACAAUGAAUUAGCAUUCUUGUCAAAUUAUCAAGGAAAUAAAUUUCAAAAAAAUAAAAUCUUGAUUUACUCUUAUGUUACUUAAAAAGAAUUGAUAUUCAUUUAAAGAUAGUAUAAUAUUAAGAUCAGAAUGGCUAUUAAUAAAGACAAGAAAAUUAGAGACUUUUAAAACAAGACUAAGAAGAAAAAAGACAUUGACAAGAAUAAAGAAGAAUUCAUUCUUAUUUCUAUAUAUAUCGUUUAACUAAGAACUAUAUAGCAAUGUUCUAUAGGACCUCUAAUACAUGUCUAACUUGUAAGAUACUCAUCUAACUUAUAUCAAAUUAUCUACAAAAAAUAAAUAUAAAUGUCUUAAUAUAAAAUCAGAUUUAGGAUUUUUGACUUAAGAAGCUUAAUAAGAUAUAGUCUUAUGUGGAGAUGGAGUCAAAGAUCAAUGUAUAACGCAUAUUUUGCAGUGCAAGAGUGACUUUGAUGGAAGCAUAUUGUAUCUUAGGUAUAGCAUCAAUAAAUUUGUAAAUUAGAAAUUUCUUCCAUAGAUGUAGCUUUUGAGAAAGUAAACUACAUAUAUAUUGUGUCUAAAUAUAUAUGAUUUCUUCUUACUUUCUUUAUUAUUGUGAAUAUAAAAUUAUCUUUUAGUAAUACUAUAAAUACAUAUAAAAUCAAAUCCACAUCUAUAUAGCUUUUAAAAAGCCUUUCAAUAAGAUAUUAUUAAGUUUAUUUACUUGAGUUAUGUGUUAUUUUACUUCUUUAAUCUAGAUAAAUGUAUAUGUUCAUGAUAACGUUUUAAAGUUUGUAUUAAAAAAAACUAAGUUAAAAAAGUAUAUAACUACUAACAAAAAGAUGAUUAUAGAGAGAAAAGAAUGAUUAGAGAUAAAAAGAAAGAAAAAAAGAGCUAAAAAAGAAUUAAAUAGUAUCAAAUAUUUAGAUUAAAAGCUAAAAAUAUUAUUAGUAUUUUUAAUAUAUUUUUUACUUAAUUAUGAAUAUUAUCUAUUUUUUAAUUAUCUAAUUUUUUAUUUUAUUUUUUAAAAUCUACAUUCAAUUCUUAUAAUAUUUAUUAAAAUUAAAAUAUAUACAAUUUGAAUUAAAUGAAUAGGUAGGAAAGAAUUUUUCCUAAUGUGAAUUUUGGCUAUAACAUAGCAACUUUUUUACAAGCAAGACUACUUAUAGAUUGAUACUUCUAAAUUAAUAUUUAUAAGAAAAACUUUCAUUUGAUAUUAAUUUAAGGUAACAAAAAAUUUGUCUCCAAACUAAAAUUAAAUUUAUAAGAAAGCUUUUAAUCUAUUAGAUUUAUAUGAAAACUUGAACUUUAGAUAUGCUAAUUAAUAAGGUACAUUAUCCUUUAUAGUAAUGUAUAGUACUAAAGAAAAUAGUUCUACUAAUGCAAAUAGUUCUAUUAACCAAUUUACUAUUGAAUGAACAUAGAAUCUAAGGUUAUCAAUACGUUGUUGUAAUUAAUUAGUACUUUAAUUAUUUUAUUUUUCUUCAAAUUAAUUUCUUUAAAUUUUUUUUCAACCUUUUCUUGAAGAAAUGACAAUACAAAAUCUUAGUUCUAUUGAAUUGUCAUCAUCAUAAAAAUCUUGCAAAAUGUGACUAUUAAAAGUUGUGAAAAAACUAUAAGAAAUUUUGUAUUAAUAAAUUUUUCUUCUACAAAGUACUUGACUUAUAUUCUUAAUAACUUUGAAAUUAAUACAAAGUAUAAAAUCGCCAUAGAUUUUUUAAUAGUCAUUCGCCAAGUGUGGAUAUUGUUGGGUGCAGCUUGCCAAAUUUAUAAUGCAUUUUGUGGUCGCAAUUUGAAAAGCUUCAACCAGCUUCAAGCAUUUUGUAGUCGCAACUUGCGAUCUUUGUCCUUCUCUUGUACCUUGUAUUAGCCUGCGGACAUACUUUGCUUCCUCCAUGCACACACUCCACUUAAUUCAUGGUCGAUAUCCUACCGCUAAGUUAGCCUAAUUUACAAUUUUUUAAAAAGUGUUUUCAAGAAGAAAGAAACAAACAAACAAUAAAACGCAGAUCAACACCGCAUCGCAAACUCUUCUAUAGUAGCAUUCUUGUUCACAAAUCAGAUUCUAACUCCACAACUCUUCCUUGUCCUCAACUAAGCUCAGUUUCCUGUAAAAUCAGACUGCGGCGGCGUUCCUUAAAACAGGAAGUCCUCGCGUCCCAUCGCGGUUCAAUUCUGCUCUGUUUUCUAGAUAGUCGUAAAGACCUGUGUCUGCAACCAGCAGAAGUGCCGCAUAAAUGAGAUCAGUCUUCGGAAUCUGCGGUGUUUUGAUUCUUUCCAACGGAACCCGGUGACUGUUCCAAUUCCAGAUUCUAAAUUAUGGUUGGACCUGUGAGCCAACGAGGUGUGGCGUUACAAACAGGACGUAAGAAUGUGUUGAAAAUUCAAGAAGAUUUCUUUGACAUGAUAUCGAGAAUAUCACUUUGGCAAAAGUCUUUCUAAUCCAGAGUCGUAAGAAUGAUAAUGUGGGGCAUAGACUUCGAAAACAGAUUAAGCAUGUAAUACAUGAAAAGACAUGUCAUUUGAUUAUCUUGUAGUAUUAUAAAAUGCAUUUGUGUAGCAACAAAUUUGAAGUUGACUGCAACUAAAUUUCUUUGCUUUUCAAUUAGAAAUAGUACUAAAUUUUAUUUCUACUAUUGGAUAAAAACUCAAGUAGUAAAAUAUAUUUCUACAUGUUGAUUUUAUAUUUAAAAUAAAUAUAAAAACUCUACCUAUUCCACAUUAUCUUGGAACAAAAAAUACUCCACAUUGCUCAAAAUAUAAUUGUUAAUUUACAUAGUUUAUCAUAAAAUGUCUUCUAUAAUUUUGGUAUUUUGGUAUUGAUUAAUAUAAAUUCUUAUUUUUAAUAUAAAUUUGGUAAGAUAUGGUGACUUUUUAAAAAACGAAUUGUAAAUAAAAUUAAAUAUUUAAAAUAUCCAGAAGUAAGAAUUUAAUAUUAUUAUUUGAUAAAUACUUUUUUGCUAUUCUCAAGUACAAUAUGCUUGCUAGACUUCUUUGUGAGAAUAAAUAUGCUAAUAAUGCAAACAUUAUAUCCUUCAAUGUAUUAAGAGCAAAUAAAAAGACACAUAGAUAGAAUUUUAAGUAUGUAACUAUAUUUGACUUUGUAACAUGGUACUUAAAAUAAUAAAAAUAUGAUUUUAAAAAUUUCGUAUUUUAUUUUAAAUGUAAUAAGUCAUGUUUCUAUUGCCUUUACUAGGCAUAGUCUAUAAAAUCUUAGAAAAUGGUUUCAAGAAUGUUUUUCAUAAAGACUUUACAAUAUCAUAAUUACCUUGAUAAAUCCUCUAAUAUAACAUAAAAUCAACUACUUCUAUAACAAUUGGUAUUUAUCUUUCUAACAUUGAAAGGUCCACCUAUACUUAAUCACCUACAAUAGUCUAAGUCUAUAGAACUUAUUCAAUAACUAUUGCUAAAUUUGCAAAACAAGCUAUUUUAUCUUACUUAAGAAUUAUACAAUUUUAUAUUACAUACAUCAAUAUUGGCAUUAAUAAUUAAAAAAAUAAGAAAAAUUAGAUACAAAUAAAAGUAAAUAUAUUUGAUAAUAUCUCAUAGAUCAAUUUCUUAGAAGCUUUAUAAAAGUGGAUUUGACUUUACAAGUAUUCAUAGGUGAUUGGUACAUUAUAAAUUUGGCCAAAAAAUUGGCCAUAUGUUAUAUGUGUUGAUCACUUCUUUUAAAAAUUAGCCACAUAUUGUACAUAUUGGCCACUUAUGGCAUAAGUUGGCCUUGUGGUGCAUAUAAGAAAAACUUAUCUUGCAAAUUAGACAUGUAUGAUAUCAAUUGGACAUGUAUUGGUUGACAUAUAAAAUAUUACUAUAUAAGUUCUUAAUUAGAUAGUAUAUAUAGAAAUAAGAGAGAGGCCUUCUUCACUCUUGUCAAUUUUUUUUUUUUUUGUUCUUAUCUUAUGUCAAAAAUCUCUAGUUUCUUUAUAUUUGGCAAUAAAUAUUUUGAUUUCUAUCUUAUAUCUAUCUUUAAUUUAUUUUUAUUUUUUAUUUUGAAUUUCACAAGAGUGUAUUAUUUUUUUAGAAUUUUUUUAUGAUUUAUGUCUGUCAAUUUGACAAGAAUGAUAAUUUUUUUAUUCUUCUUUUGUUUUAGACAUGAGUGGAUUAUAUUACUUCUUAUUAUUGUAUUUUUAUGGUUUCAAACCACUCACCUUUAAACUAAAAUUUUACAUCUUUUUAAUAUUAAUUUUUUUUUAAAAUAAAGUGGAUUACUCUUCUUUAUAAAAAAUAUUGAUUUAAUAUCAAAGGUUGUAGAUUACCGUCUUUUAAUUUAAUUUUUAGACAUAUUAAAGUUAUUUUUUAUAGAGAUAGAAGAAGAAAAAAAAUUAUAGAUGCUAUACUUGAUAGAAGUAAAAAUAGAUUUGUCACUAUCACAAAUCUUUAUAAAUUUUUCAAUACUCUUACAAAUAAAAAUCUUUACAAAUCUUUAAAAAUCUUUACAAAUUUGUCAAAAAAUUUACAUAUUAUUAAUAUCAAUUAUAGAAGUACUAUUCUUAUAUCUAUUGAAGAAGUUAAUAAUAAGAUCAAAUGUCUACAUUAAGAAGUUAAAUUGUUAAAAGAAGCAAGUAGAUCAACUUUAUAAAUAAAUCUAAAAAAUCUUAUUAAUAAAAGUAUGAAUAAAGUAAAGAUUAUUAUGCUAGAGAAUUUUUCUAAAGAAGAUGAAAAUUUUGAGGAUUUCUACAAUAAAUUAAGUUCUAUUUAAGAUUAUAUCUUAUCUAAUAUCUUAACAAACUUAUUCAAGUUAAUUUUGUAUAUAUACUUCUAUCAUAGAAUAUUCUCUCUUGAUUUAUAUAUUUGAUUGAAAAAUAUUUAUAACUUCUAUAUAAUCUAAAUUCAUUCAAAAAAUAAAUUAUGGUUACAGUUAGAAAUAGUCAUUAAGAAAGAAUAGCAAAAACAAACUCUCAUUUUGUCAAAAUUUUCAUAUUCCAUUUAAAAUCUCUAACAAGACUUCCUAUCUUAUUUGUAAAGAAAAAUGGCAGAUCAUUGUAAAUGUAUGUGGAUUAAUAAUGAUUCAACAAGAUUAUUAUAAAUAAUAGAUAUUCUCUAAUUUUUAUAUGAAAACUUUUUCAUCAAUUAAAUAAAACAAAGAUCUGUAAUAAAAUAGAUCUAUAAAAACCUUACAACUUCGUAUGCAUAAAAAAUAAAGAUGAAUAAAAUAUUAUAUUUUAAACUAAAUAUAGAAAUUUUAAAUAUAUUUUAUGUCUUUUCAAACAAAAAAUAUGCUAAUUAUUUUUAAACAUCUAAUAAAUAAUAUUUUUUGAGAGUUUUUAGAUGAUUUUUUUAUUUUUUUUUAUCUAAAUGAGAUUUUAAUCUACUCUAAGAGCAUCAAAGAAUAUGAAUUUUAUAUUUUUGUAUAUUCCAAAAACCUAGACAUAUAAGAAUGUAAUCUAAGAUUAAAAAUUAUAUAUUUUAUACAACUUAAGUUGAUUUUUUAGGAUAUAUUAUUUCAAAUGAUGGUCUUAUGAUGGAUUGUAGAAAUUUUACACUAUCCUGGAUUGAAAGAUUCUAAGAAUAAUAAGAAACUUUGAUUUUUUUUAGUAAUUAAUAAAUAUUAUUAAACCUUUAAAAAUUAAUCUUUGUCCAAUAAUUAUUUAUAUAAAUUAUAAUAACUUUAAAUGUUUUACAUCAAUAUAUAUUUUGAAUCAUUUUUAAGCAUUCUUGAUCAAAAAUUUGUAUCUAAUAUCAUCCAUUGGUCAAAAAAACAAUAAGAUUUAUUACAAGUUUUUUUUAAACGUUUUUAUCUGACAUUAAAAGAAAAAAAUGAGACUUUUGAUUAAUAACAAAUAAUUCUUUAAUAAAUAGAGAAAUUUAAUUUUUAUAUAAUAAAAUCAAAAUUAACUUUUGAUUUUAUAUUUUUUAAUCAAGUUCUAUGAAGCAUGUCCUUAAUAUUAUGCAAAUAUCCUUAAUAUUAUGUAAAUCUUCUUAUGCAUAAUAUUAGGAUAUUUUUUAAAAAAAAUUAUGAUAUUUUUAGAUUUAAAUUUUUAAAAAUCUUCUUUAUUUUAAAAAAUGCUUAUAAGUUCCAAAAGACAAAGCACAAUUAUGAAUAUUUUAGGCUUAUCAUAAUAUUUUAGCUACAAGAUAUUUUUUAAACAAAAAGACAUUAGAAUUAAUCUUAAGACAUUUUUGUUGGGAUCAAAUGUGAAAAGAAACUAAAAGCUUUUUAUAAUCAUGUGAUAUAUAAUGAAAAUCCAAAGCUCCUUGAUAUUGACUUCAUAGACUUUUUAAACCACUACCUAUAUAAGAAUAAGCAUGGUUAUAUAUUUUUAUAGAUUUUAUCACGCAUCUUUCAAUCUUAAGCUCUUAUAUUUUAUAUUUUUAAUAAUAGAUUUUUUUAUUGAAAUAAUAUAUUUUUUACUAAGUAAAAAAAAUAUUAUAAGUAAAAAAAUAAUUGGACUCUUUUUUAAUAAUAUUUUUUAUUAUCAUAGAUUAUCAAAGAAUAUUAUAUCAAAUAGAAGAAUUCAAUUUGUAUUUAGAUUUCGGAUAAAUCAUUUUAAGAUAAAAAAGAUUGCUAUAAAAUUCUUUUUAAUCUUCUAUUUUUAAACUAAUAGACAAACUAAAUAUGCAAAUCAAGUAUAAGAGUAGUAUUACCAUCAAUAUUAUCAAUUAUUAUCAAUUACUAUCAAGAUUAUUAAGCAAUUCUUUUUUUCAUCAAUAAAGUUUAUUUAUAAUAACACCAUAUAUUUUUCUAUUUAAUUAUCACUUUUUUAUGAUAAUUAUGGUUAUUAUCUAUGAUUUGAUACUUUUGAAUUUUUUAAAAUUAAUAAUCUUAUAACAUGAGUUUUGUCAAAUUAUUUAUUAAAGCUACAUAUAAUAAUAAAGGUACAAUUAGAUAAAACUUAAAAAUAACAAAAUAUUAAUGUAAAUAUUUAUUAUGUGUAACAACCUCAAUUCUAUAUUGACAAUAAAGAAUUGCUUACUUUAUUGUAAUAGCAAGACUAUUUUCUUGUAUUAUAAGUUGCAUUAUUGUAGACUUCAACUAUUUCAUAGUUUUAAACAAAUCAAUUUAGUUGCAUAUUGAUUUCAUCUAUUAGACUUUAUAAAGAUUCAUCUUGAAUUCUAUGUAUCUAUUCUUAAAUCAUAUAAGACAAUGGAUAUAUUGAAAAUAAGACAAAUACUAUCUCAUGUCAAGGAUAUGAAUUAAAAAUAAUAAAAACCUCAAUAUACUCUUAUGUUAUUCAAAAAUAAUAGAUAUGCAUUUAAAGUUAGUAUGAUAUUGAAAUUAGAAUGGUUUUUGCUUAAGACAAGAAGAUUAGAGGCCUUUGAAACAAAACUAUGAAUAAUAGAGGCAUUGACAAGAAUAAAGAAGGCUUUAAUCUUGCCUCUAUAUAUAUUAUCUAUUUAAAAAUUACAUAGUGAUGUUCUAUAGAACCUUCAAUAUGUAUCCAACUUGUAAUAUAUAUGUCUAACUUACAAGAUAUGUUUUUUAUAUGUGCAACCUUGUAUCAAAAAUCACCAAUAUAUACAACAAGUGGGCAACUUCUUGGUAAAUUUUUUAAUCUACCAAUCAACUAUAAACAUAUAUAAAGUCAAAUUUGUAUCUAUAAAAAUCCUAAAAAACUUCUCCACAAGAUGUUAACAAAUCUACCUACAUUAAUCUUAUAUAUAAUAUUUUUUAUUUAAAUAAUUAUGUAAGUAUACAAUACCUCCUUCUAUAAAAGUAGACAAUAAUCAAGAGUUAGAGGGAACAAAAGUCUUGGACUCAAGGUAGUGCAAAAAUAGGUUAAAACAUCUUUUAUAUUAGUAUAGAUAUGAUAUAAUUAAAUCGACAUAAGAGCCAUCUACAAAUCUUAUAAAUGCACUAGAGAAGGUCAAUACUUUUUAUGGACAACAUCUAUAAAAAUCAAGAUAAAAAAGCAAGAAUAUUUUUGCUAUAUAGCAAAACAUAUUCAAUGAAGAUUGUGUUCUAACUUCUCUCAUUGUUUAAGGUUUUUAUGUAUUUGUGGCAUUAAAAAGAUAAAGAAUCAACAACAACAAAAUUCAACUCAAGAGCUAUCUUUUGUAGAGCUAUUAAUGUUGUGUUAUGUUAAAGCAAACUUGACAAUGUAUUAUGCAUCCAGGUGUAGAAGAAAUUUUUUAUUUUUAAUCAACAAAAAAUAUAAUAAUCCUAAUAAGAUUCUAAAAAAAAAACUUUAAUUUAGCUUUAAAAAUUAUAGUCAAACCUUAAUCAAAUACUAAAGAAUUUUAAAGAAAAAUUUAAAAAUUAUUUUAAAAAUUCAUUAAAAAAAUAUCAAAAAAAAUAUAGUAAAUAUUUAAAAUUUUCUUUAAAAUAUUUUAAAUAAUUCAUCAAAAAAUCAGAAAGAAAUUAUCAAGAAAUUAAAAAAAAAAUUUAAAAAAUAUAUUUAAAAUAUUCUAAUAAAAUACUAAUAAAUCCUAAAAUCCAUAGUAAAUCCUAAUUAAAUUAUAGUAAAAUCUUUAAAAAAUCCUAAAGAUAUUGUAGAAACUCUAAUAAAAUUGUAACUAAAACCUAACCAAUUCCUAAUCAAUUCUAAGGUGGUCCUAAAACCUCAAAAAUAAUUGAUUAAAUCAUUGAUUUUUCUUUUAAAAAAACACAUAUUAUAAUUUAAUCAUUAAAAAUAAAAUAAAAAAUAAUUGAAAGGAGAUUCUAAUUUAUUAAUUUAAAAAAAUAUUCAUUAAUUACUUAGGUAUUAGCCAUCUUUCUUCUCCAAUAUUAAUGUUGAUCUUUUAGAAGUAAUUAUUCUUUCUUAAACUAUUUUUUUAUAUUCAAAAUUAUUAAAAUUAUUGAAAAUUAAGAUCACAACUUGUUUACAAAAAUUUGAUUCAAUUCAAUUGGAAAAUACUCAAGAUCAAAGAAUUCUUAUUGAUCAUUGAGAUCUAAAUUCUUACAUCUUAACUUAAUUGGAUUUUAAUAAUAUCUGAUAAACCGGAUAGANNNNNNNNNNNNNNNNNNNNNNNNNNNNNNNNNNNNNNNNNNNNNNNNNNNNNNNNNNNNNNNNNNNNNNNNNNNNNNNNNNNNNNNNNNNNNNNNNNNNNNNNNNNNNNNNNNNNNNNNNNNNNNNNNNNNNNNNNNNNNNNNNNNNNNNNNNNNNNNNNNNNNNNNNNNNNNNNNNNNNNNNNNNNNNNNNNNNNNNNNNNNNNNNNNNNNNNNNNNNNNNNNNNNNNNNNNNNNNNNNNNNNNNNNNNNNNNNNNNNNNNNNNNNNNNNNNNNNNNNNNNNNNNNNNNNNNNNNCUCAAAUCACUUAAAAUCAAUGCUUAACCAAACUAUAAAAAGAUUGAUGGCUAAUAUUAUUUUUUAAUUAAUAAAUUAAUCUUAAUUUUUUUGUAAAAAUGUAUUCUUGUGCCUUGGAAUCUGAUUUUGACACAUAUCUAUAACUGGUCCUCUUCAAGUAUCAACAUCUAAUUUUUUUUUCUAGAUAAUAAAAAAAAUAUUUAUUUUUACUUAAAUAUUUUUAAAGUAUUUAUUUUGAUAAUCUACUUUAUUUCGUCUUAUUUAUGGUCCUAUAAAAUAAGUAGAAGCUCAUUUUAUAAAAAGGCAUAAUUAAUAAUCAUUAAUUUUAUUACUUUUUUUUACUAUUAUCUAUAUUUUUAAGCUAAUUUAUUACUAUAUUUUAAAAGAAGAUCUUUUAUAAUAUAGUAUUUUUUUUCUUUCAUCCAAUAGUUGUGUUGCAAUACAAUAGUAAACAAAGAAUUAAGAAUUCAAGAAUCUUUGGUCUCUUUGUAUAUGACAAUAGUCAUUUUGUUUUUUAUCUUGUAUCUACCUUUAAUUUAUCUACUUUAUGUUUUUGAGCAUUUUAAGAGUAUAUUGCUUCUUGAAAGUUUUGUUAUAAUUCAUAUCUUUCAAACUUUGAGGAUUUAUUUUUUCAACCAUGCAAUCCAUCAAAAGUAGAUCUUAAAUAUCAAUAGUCUACUUUGUAUUCCAAUAUAAUCUUCAAAUAUAAAAUUUUGGCAUUUAAUAAGGACGUCUAAAUAAUAAUUUAUUACAAGAUUUUCUAAUGGAAACUAUACUACUUACUACAGCUAUAGUUCUUGUACACCAAAGUAUUGUUUAAUAUAGUAGACAAUAUAAAAAAUAAGAAGUAAGAUUUUAUUAAAGUAUUUUAAAGAUGAGAAAGAUUAUUUAUCAAAAAGAGAGAUCAAAAUAAAUAUUUUUAAUAAUUUUACAAGCCUUGCAACUUGUAGCCAUGAAUCUAAUAAGAUUUGAUUACUUCAAUUUAUUAUCACAAACAAGCUAUAGGUUCUUAUAUUCUAAAUUAAUAUGCAAUAAAAUUUAAGUAAAUUUAUAAAUAAUAUAAAAAAAAUAAAUAUAUAUUAAAUCUUUAAUAAUUAGAUAUAUUAUAAAAAAAUUUAAAAAAUAUAAAAAUUAAGAAAUUUGUAAGCUAAUAUAUGAUUUUUAAGUUCAUUGAUAUUAAUACAAAUAUUUCCAUGAGUUACUUCUAUAAUGUUAAAAUUAUGCUACAAUCCACUUAGAAUACAAUGGCAAGUUGAAAACUAUGCAUCUUCAACUACAACUCUCUUUUCCAUUACUAAUACUACUAUAACUAUUGUUGCAACCACUACUCUUAAGUUAUUUUGUAAAUAAAAAUUACAAUUAAUGAUCAUCCACAAUGUAAGAACAUUGUAUUUUUUAUCUAUUAUAUACACACUUUUCUAUCUUUGCACACUUUUCUAUUUUGCAUGUAAUCUUACUUGAACAGUUCUAUUGAAAUAUACACUUUUCUAUCUUUGCAUGUAAUCUUAUAUUUUUUAGUUUUUGUGAGAUACAACAAACAUGAAGUUUAUAUUCUUAUAUGUUCUUAGAAUAGAUUAAAAUAUCAUUUACAUAAAAAAAAAAAAAUUUAUGAAGAAACUCACAAGAAACAUCAUUUAUUAAAUGUUGAAAAGCAGCUAAUAUAUUUGUGAGUCCAAAAGACAAGAUAUUAUAUCUGAAAUAUUCCUAUCUUAUUCAAAAUAUAGUUUUUCAUUCAUUUCAUUUUGUGAUGUAUAUCAAAUCAUAUAUUUUUUAUAGAUCUAUUUUUGUAUAGAUUUUUGCUUAAUUGAAUUGAUCAAAAAAUUUUAAAAUUAAAAAUAUAAGAUAUAUAUUCUUAAUAGUGAUCUUAUUAAGUCUUUGAUAAUUCACACAUAUGUGCAAAGAUCUAUCUUUUUUUUCACAAAUAAGGUAAGAGCUCCUAUUAGAGAUUUAAAAUAGCAUAUGAAGUUCUUAGCUAAGUUCUUGUCAAUGUACUCUUUAAAAGCAACUAAAUUAUUUUGCAAUAAGCUAUAAAUUUGUUCAAAUGGUGGUUGAAUUUUUUCUUGAAGAUCAAUAAAAAAAUCAUAGAAACAAUGCUUUGGAAGAAUAUUUUGAUUUUUUUUUCAAAACAUCUUGAUAAUCUUGGUAUUGAUUUUGAAUGUCACUUGUAAUCUUUCUACCAUCAAAAAUGAGUGUGGCAUAUAUAAUAAAAGUUGUUCUUGCUUUUGCAGCAUGUAUAAAAGCUCUUACAUUUAUCAAUAAAAAUUAAGUUAUAUUUAACUUAUGGAUUUUUACUUGAUUAGUAGAAUCUUGAAUAAAGAAUAUUUCUUAUUUUUUGACAAAAUCUUUGUCUAUAAAAUAGGUUGAUGCUUCUAAAUCUAACAAGGCAAAGACUUUAUGAUUUUUUUUAUCUCAAAAAAAUAUAUAUUAUAAAACUAGGUAAAGAAUCUUAAAAAAAAAAUGGGAUUUUUAUCAAAUAUUACAUAAGAUUUUAGCUAUACAAUUUCUAUUAUAAUUGAAGAAAUUUUUUUUCCAAUACAUUGUCCUCUUUGGCAAUCAUAUUCCUCUUUUUUUUUUUUUUAUUAUAUUGCUUCUUUGGAUAAUUUUGAACAAUAUAUUGGAUUCUCCAAAAUAUAAGCAUAAACCUUUUUGAUGUCGUCAAAUCUUUUCUUGCUUAAUAAGAGGUUUGAACCAUAUUGUGUUAAUUUUCAUAAGCUUUGGCUUAGAUGAAUAAGCUUCUAAAAACUUAUAAGGCAUUGCCAUAACUUAAUUUUUACUUCUUCAACCAAAUUUUUAUUUUUUAUAUCUUUUAAAGAAUUGAUUAUUCCAUGCAAUGGCUUGAGCAAUAAAUUGCUCUAAUGAAUCUGCUCUUGACAUAGUCAACAAUAAAUCCAUAAAAUUAUCUUUUAAUCUAUAUUAAAAUUGAUUGAUAAGGAUUUUUUAUUUUAAUCUACAUUAUAGAUAAGAUUUUGGAAUUCAGCAGCAUAUAUGGUGGCUAAACAUGAUUCUUGUCAUAAAAAUAAAAAUUUUGUCUUUGCUAUCUUUUUUUGAUUAUUUUUUCCAAAUUUAGCUAUAAACACUUCUAGGAAUGAAUUCAAAUCAUAGAAUAGUUUUAAAUUUUUUUUAUCAAAGAUGUAAAUCAAAAAAGACCAUUCUCAAAUAAAAAUGUACUUAUGAAUAUAACUUGAAUAAAUCCAUUAGAGUAUUAGAAAGAAUGUAACCUUAGAUAAAGCUUUAUUUGUUAUAAAAACCUUCAAAAUUUUGAUCUUGUUCUAUCAAACUUUUCAUGCAUACUUAUCUGUGUCUUUCUUAUACUUGUAGUAAAAACAUUUCUAAGAUUCAAUUUUGAACUUUAUCUACUUAUUUUUCUUAAUUAUACAACUUCUUGGCAUAGACUUUAAACUUCAUUGUUGACUUCUUCUAUAGCCAUAGGAAUAGUACCUCUAUGAUUUAUAUUAGAAAUAUAUGAGAUUUUCAUCAUAAGUGUAUUGACAAGAUCAUGAAGAUUUGCAAUAGUUGUAAAUUCAUUUUCACUUCCAUUAAAAGUAGCGUUCAUAAUUUUUUCUUCCAUAAAUAAUUCAAAUAAAUUCAAAAAUAAAAUUAGAUGAUGCUAAUCUAAAAUAUCUAAUAUUAAAUAAUAUUUUUUAUAAAAAAAAAUAAUAUUCUCUCUUUAAGAUAAAAAUCACCAUUAAAAAACUAAAAAUUAAUUUAAAAGUAGAUAGUCUAUAAUAUUCAAUAGAAGUGAGAUAUUCCAUUCAUUUUUAGAACAAAACAAAAACAAUAAGUUAAUAUUCUUGUCAAACUGUCAAAGAUAUAAAUCUUAAAAAAUUUAAAAAUCAAUAAAUUCUUGUAUUAUUCAAAAAUAUUAAAAAAUCAUUCAAAGAUGAUAUAGUAUUAAAUUAGAAUGAUUAUAGCCAAAGAUAAGAAGAUUAUAAAGUCUUAAAUAAGAAUAAUACCUAAAAAAAUAUUGAUAAGACUAAAAAAGGCUUCAUUCUUGCUUCUAUAUAUACUAUUUAACUAAGAGCUAUAUGGCAACAUUCUAUAGGACUUAUUACACAUGUUUAACUUGCAAGAUACAUGUUUUGACUUAUAAGGCAAUUUUUCUAUAAAUAUGCUAUAUAAUUAGCUUAUAUCACAAGCUACCAAUAUAUGCAACAUGUAGCUAACUUUUUGACCAAGUUUUUAAUCUACCAAUCAACUACAUAUACAUAUAAAUUCAAAGCCACAUCUAUAAAACUUCUAAAAAGUUUUUCUAUAAUAUAUUAUCAAAUUAAUCUAUUAUUACCUACUUCUACAUAUUCAUAUUAUUUAAGAAAUUAUUGGAGUUAAUAGAUAUGUUUGCAAUAAAUGAUAUUAUAUAUUUGAAAUUUUUUUAUUGUACAAUACUUGGAUGCAAAAAUAAGAUUGCUUAAGAAAUUUUUAUAAGCAUUAUCAUGUAAUGUUUAUAAUAUUACAAUCAAGUAAUAUCAAAGAUAUUAUAUUUAAUAAAAAUAUAAUGGAAUAAAAAGAUUUAAAUAGAUCUUAUUUUUAUUUUAUUUUUUUCAAUUGAGAGAGUAGAAUUCCAUAAAUUAUUGAAGAUAACAUACUUUAUGAGCUAUUAAAUACAAUGGAUGGUGAAGAUACACACAAGAAUCUAAAGGUUUAUGUCCUUGAUAUUUCUAUUAUAUAUUAUCUCUUUUAAAUUAAAACCUAUAUUAUCAUUUGCUAGAAGAUAAAUAAGUUAGUAUAGAAUGUAGCUUUUGUCCGAAAUAUAUAUAUUGUAAUUAAAAAUUUUGGACCUCUAAAUAUGUAUAAAUUAUUAAAUUUAUAUAUUAAAUUUUAUUUAGCUAGAAUACAAAAAGAAAUCCACUCUAAUUAUAUUUUAAAAUAUAUUUGGAUAGAAAGUCACAUUUUUAUUAUUAAUUAUAAUAUAAGCUAAAAAUAUUUAAAUUAUAUUUAGUAAUAAUAAGAAAAAUAUAAGUUCAAUCCUUAAUUUGAAGUGAUAAAGGCAAUUUUGUGUAAUUUUUUUGAUGAUUGUAAGAUUCCUCUCAACUUAGAUAGUACUAUAAUCUUUAUACAUUUAUAACUCAUAUGCACAUUCUAAAACCUUCUUUUAUUGCAUAAUGAAAUUCUUUCAAAAAUUGAUUUUAUAUUUUAUAAUAUCAUUUAUAUAUUUUAAUUAAUAUAACUAAAAUAUAUUUUAUUUUACAAAGUUCAUAUACUUUGAAUUUUAGACAAGGAGUCUAAGUAUUCUAAUACAUUAUAUUUGAAAGAAAUUCUUCAUAUUUUACAUGAUUGAUUCAAUCUAAUUUUAAGUUUGAAAAAUCAAUAAUUUCAUCUUUUUAAAUAAAGAAGAAUAACUAAUCUUAUUGAUUUUUUGCAAUCAAACAAUCCUACCAUGCCAUUGGAAAUUUCUUAAUGGCUUUGAAGUUUAGAAGUCAAAGCAUAUUUAUGAAAUCUUUAGAGAGUCCAUUUAUUAUAAAAGAUGUUAAGAAAAAAAAAGAAAGAAAGGCAAAAAAAAAAAAUGCCAAGAAAGAUGCAAAAGCAAAAAAGAAAGAAGAUGAAUUAAAGAAGAAGGGUAUAAGAGAUGAAGCCAAGAUGACAAUAGAAGAGAAACAAGCUACUAAAAAAAUUUGAAAGUAAGAAUAAGUUACCAAAGCAAUAAAAAAUGAUAAACAAGUUACCAAUUCAACAAAAGAGAUGAAGAAAGAAAAAUAAUUUCUAAAGAUUAAGCAAGUAGAUGAAGAAAUUUUGAAAGUGAUCUUAUUCUUUCUAUGUGAUAGGUUGUCAAGGAAGCUAUAAAGAAGAUUCUAUACAAGAAGAUCAUGGAAGAGGAACCAACAAUCAGAAGUACAAAACUUCAUGAACUAAUUUUUGAAGAAAUAGUCAAAGACAAACCAAGAUGUGGUCUUUAGGCUAAAAUAAUUAGAAUUAAAAACCACCAAUUAUACUAUAUAUUUAGUAAUACUGAGUAUAUUAUUAGUACAUAGAGUAUGUGAUAGAUUAGUUGUUGCUCAUCCAAAUUCCUUUGCUCUUAUCAAGCUCAAUUAUUGAGAUGUGCAUGAAAUAAUGACCUUCAAAUGGCUACAUUGUAGAAUCCAUGACAAAACUAACUUGUUAUGUAUUUGCAAAUAAAUAAAUAAAUAUAUAUAUAUAUAUAUGUAUAUAUAUAUAUAUUUAUUUAUUUAUUUAUAUAUAUAUAUAUAUAUAAAUAUAUAUAUAUAUAUAUAUAAAUAUAUAUAUAUAUAUAUAUGAGCAUAGGAAAGGAAUAAACCAAUUGCUUAAAGGAAGUGGAAUAACUAAAAAGAUAGAAUAAGAACCAAAGAUACUACAAAAAAGUAGAUUGUAGCAUGCAUCUUAAGUUCAUGACAACUUCUAGCAUUGGCAAAAAUAGUGAUGGAAUGCAAUGGAUGGCAAUUGCAAAAAUUGUGGUGGCGUUAGCAACCUUUUUUAUAAAAAUAAGAUCCAACUCUAUUGAUAAUAAAUUUGUAGAAAAAUAAAUUACUAUAUAAGUUUAUAAGAAGUUAGAAUGUUAAUUUUUGACCUUCCAUAUUGAAACUUUGAUUAGUUUUUAAAAUAUUUUUAAUAAAUAUUUUUAAUAAAUAUUUUUUAUUUAAUAAAUUCAAAGUUAUUAUAAAUAAAUAUUGAUUUUUCAUGAAAUGGUAGUAUCUACUAAAUAAAUCUAUAGUUAUAUAUAUAUAUAUAUAUAUAUAUAUAUAUAUAUAUAGUACAUUUAAAUAUAAAAAAACUCAUAUAAUAAUAUUUAUCUUGAACUUUUGAUCAUGUAUUAAUAAUAAUAUAAUUAUCAUAAGAAAUUAAGAUAUAUAUAUAUAUUUGGAUAUUACAUCAUAAUAUUUAAAUAUUUCUUAUAAUAUUAUCUUUAUGAAUUAUUUUAAAAUUUUAUUUUUCAAUAAAUUCCAAAUAAUUAUACCUUUCAUUAUGUGUAAAUUUUAACCCUUUUAUCAGCCUUUACAUAUUAUUACCUAUGUGCAAAUUUGCCUAUUAUACCAAUUCCAUUUAAAACACUACCAAAAAGUAAAAUAAAUAAAUACAUUGUGAAUGUUUCACCUCAAUAACUAAAAAAAUGAGUUACAUCUAGACACCUAAUAGAAUUUAAAUUUAUUUAAUUCAAACUUUCUACUAUAGUAAGGUUCCAACUUCAUGGUUUUUGACAGUGAAUCCUGGUUAAUACCAAACUGUGCAAUGGCCAAGAUUCACAAAUCGUGUUCGACAUGAUUUAAAUAGAAAAAAUCAAUAAACUAAACUUUUUCUCAAGGCAUUGGCGUAAAUCACUAAUCUCAGACUGUUCUUUGUCAAUGCGAGAGUGAGUCGGCGUUAUGACUCAGUUUUCGGUUCCUCCGUCAGUUUUAGGCUCACCAUUUGCAUGAGAUGGUUCGAUCCGGGACUCGACAGCACUAGAAUCAGCAGAAGAGGUGGGUUCAUCUGCUGCAUCGUCGUCGAUGGCUAUGGCUUCAGUCAGCUGGAGCUCAUCGAGGUCGAUCUUCAUGACUGGUUUCUCCUCACUUAAGGGGGCUUUGCCCAGCACCUCCAGAAGACCCUCCAAUGCAGCCGUGGGAUUGCG